rnacentral:lncRNA from 1 species
AACGUGGAGGGUAAUUCUCCAAACAUGCUAUUGUUUCGAAGGUUUAACAUACAAGGAUUUGUAUAUCCCAAAGUAGGUGGGAUUUUUCCUGUCAAAUUGUUGUUUCCUAAAUUUAAAUAAGCUAAAUUUUCCCAAUGAUUCCAACAAUCUGGAAUUUCUCCAAUGAGUAGAUUUAUAUCGAUGUAAAGAGCUACCAUCUCCUUUAAUGAUGGAUUACAAAUUAAUUCAGAAAGGGAUCCUGAAAAUGAAUUAUUUGACAAAAAUAAAUAUCUUAAAGUUGAGAGUACUCUUGGCAAUGGACCUGUAAAGCGGUUGGAACUCAAGUCAAUAGAGUUUGUUACAUUCAAAUAUGAAAUCCCUCCAGUAAGUUGAUUAUAGGAAAGAUUUAAAUAUUCAAAUUGAGUGGGAAGAUUCACAAACCAAGUGGGCAUGACGUCUGAAAUUCCUACAUGGGAGAUAUCCAAAGAAGACAAUUCUUUUUGGAAUUUUAACCACAGGGGAAACUUUGAGCCAAGAUGCCAGUGACCCAAUUCAAUAAUUUGACAUUGAAAUGGGGGAAUCCAACUUGAGUUUGGUUCAAAUCUAAGCCUAUUGUGUGACGCCUUUAGAGUUGUCAAUCUCGUGAGUUCAGAAAAAUGGGUUUCUAUAACAACUCCUUCCAAUAGAUUAUACCCAAAAUCUAGAGUUUCCAAACUUUCCAAUUGUCCAAAACAUAGAGGAAAAGUACCAUUUAAUUGAUUUUCUGAAAGAUCAAAGUAUUUCAAAGAUGAUAACUCCCCUAUCGAUGAUGGAAUGGGACCAGAAAUGUUGUUUUGAGCAAGGGACAAGUAAGAUAGAUUUUUAAAUUGUCCAAGUUGAUAAGUUAAAUGACCAGAAAGUUGGUUAUCUGCCAUAUUUAAUGACUAUAAGGAACCCAAACAACAUCUAGACAAACUCUGUAGGAUUUCUGAUAUGUCUUGCUGAAUUUUAUUACUAGAAAGAUGAAGAAAUCGAAGAUGGUUUAAACAAAACAAGGAGUUGGGUAUGGAUGAAUUGAGUGAGUUCUGAUGAAGAUCAAGAACUUCAAGAAACGAGAUGUUCCCAAAGUAAUCAGGAAUUCGUCCAUCCAAAGAAUUGAAUCUAAGAUCAAUGGACACAAGACCAUGAAGACUAAAUAUUGACUUAGGUACUGAAGAUAAGCUGUUCCAAGAAAGAUCAAGAACAGCCAGUGAUUUUGAAGAAUUAACACUGAUCAAAUGUGGAUCAUCUUCCAAAAUGCAAGCUGACAAGUGCAACUCUAGCAGAGAAGGAUGUUUAAAUGUUACCUGUAGCCAAUCAGUUGCUUUAGAGAGAUUCGCGUAGCUCAAAUCAAGGUACUGCAAGGAAGAAAGUCCAGAAACCCAUUGAAGACUUUCUGAUAUGAGAUCAUUACCUCGAAGAUCAAGAUACUGCAACUUUGAAAGAUUCCCCAGGUUAUGAGGAAUUGCUCCCUGAAAUUGUGCUCGAGAGAGGUUAAGAUAUGUUAAACUCUCCAGCAAACCGAAUAAUUUCGGGAUAUGUAUGCUGCUAAAAUUAUUAUUGCUCAAGUCCAGGGUACUGAGAUGGUUCAACUCCAGCAGUGAAGGAUUUAUUUUGCCUCCUAGGGCUGACUGCUCGUAAGGUGAAAGAGGAGCAGCCAAGUGCAGUUGGUGGACGUGGCCCGUUAAGUUAAGGCAGACGACACCAAUCCCCUCCUUCAACCCAAGAAGAUAACCUGUUUGAAGGAUCAAUAAGAUGAUUCUUGAAUUUCAAAAGAGCUUCUCUCUCACUUGGAACGCAAAGUAGGUUGGAAUUGGCAUGACAAAUGGUAAAAAAGAUAGCGGGAACGAGAAGAAGAAAAGGGAAAAAGGAAAUUGGAAGAGCAGUAGUCAUGGUUGCAAUUGCCAUUGCUCACAACUCCAAAUAUAUACUAAGAUUAGCUAAAACACAAAAAUACAUGAAGCGCAAGGAAGUUUCUUCCAACAAAAUGCAUUUAAUUGAUAAUAGUCUGUCGGAAAUUUGCUAUCAAGGGAAAUUUCUAAUUAAUUGCAUUUAAUUGUCCAUAAAAUGUAAUAUGAAUUCUAUUAUUAAAUUAAAGAAAUGUAUGCUAUCAAGGAAGUUUUUUACAAUACCCUAAAAGUCUAUGAAGAAAGUCCCACUCCCACUUUCUUUAAGACUUUUUAGGUCUUAAAAGCUAAAGGAUUAAAAAAAAAAUAGUUUCCAAGUUUCGUGUUGAUUAUUUAUUUAUAUCAAAUUAUAAAGUAUAAUUUUUGAAGAAGGUUAAAAUAUGCUUUUAAGUUACUAUACACUUUUAUAUAUUUAGACUUUAAUUUCGUAUUUUUAAUUUUAAGAAUUUAUUCCAUAUAUUUUAAUUUUAAAAUUUAGGUGCAAUAGUUAUUAACAUUAAAAUUAUUCUAUUAAAUAUUCACUUGGGAGUCCUAUAACAAUAAAAUUAAUAUUAAAAAUUCUAAUUAAUUUUUUUCAUAAAAACACUUAUUCAAACUCAACUUAGUUUAUGGAAUAAAUCUCACUCCCAUGGUUUACUUGCUACUUAAAAAAAAUUGAUACAUCAAACUAGCUCUCGAAGCAUUUUUCAUUUAAGAAAAAUCUACGUUAAACUUGAUAACGCCACAAGGGAAGCGUGUCGUACAAUUCAAAGGUUAUCUGGUUGACACUUAUCCAUUACUUUCAUUUAUAUCCUUAACAAAAUAAUGGCAUAGGAUGUUUGUUCAAAGGGUUAGUAAUUAAGUUCGUCUCUAAAUUAUAGUUCACUUUUAGAAAUUUUUUGAAAAUAAUUCCAAAAAAUCUAUAAAUUCAUUAUUUAUUUGAUAAAAUUUUAAUAUUUUUAAAAAUAUAAUUAUAGAAAAAUUUAAAAUUAAAAAAAAAACUCAAAAAUUACCCAAUUCAACGAGCACCCAUUGGAAAAUUUACAUUAUGUUUUAUAUUAUAUUAGUAUCUUCAAACCAAUUAUAUGUUACAAAAUUAUAAUUAAAAAUAUUUUUUAUAAAAUUAAAAAGUGAGAAUAUUUUUAGUAUGAUUAUAGGUGUCUUUAUUCAUUUUAAAACUAGAGUGUAACAUCCCGAAAUAAGGCCUAGGAGUUUGGGCCAACAAAUCCUUAUUUUCUAUUAAGGGCUAAGAUCGAUUGGUUAACAAUUAGGGAUUGAUUUCUGAAAAGGGUAAAAGUAGGAGUACUUGAAUAGUUAUUUGUCCAAAGAGUUGAGGAAACAAUUUCCUUCCUUAAAUGAAAUAGAGUCAUGCAUGUAAGACUUCCUCUGUCAUGAGGAGACCCUUAGGUUCUAAACUACCCUAGUUACAUAUGAAUUAAACACUGCCAACAAAAGUUUUAAACCUAUAUGCAUACCAAAAUCCUACCAUUAGCCAAACCUCCAUUGAAUUGUUUCUCUAUGUUUUCUGUCAAGUUUCUGCAAAUAAAAAACCAAGCCCUUUUUUCUUAAAGGUUCAAGGUAAGACUCUGUUUCUCUAUUGGAUUAGACAUUUAUAAGUAAUUUUAGAACUUUUAAGAAAGCUUGCAACAAAAGAACUAGGUUCACCAAAUGAUUAGCAUGUGCGAACCUAAGCUUGCUUGUGUUUAUAAAUGAGUUUUAAUGUGCUUUGACUAUUAGUGACUUGUGAAUAUUUGUGAAGUUGCAAACUUGACAGAGCCGUCUACAAGCAAAGACAUGGGAAAGGCAAAGCUUGUUUAAAGCUUUCGACAAAUUGCUAAGUGUUCAGGGAUUCCCACUUGUAUGUGCGGACCAUAGUGUUAAUCAGGAGCUUAGGGUCUUAACCUAAGUUUUGAGAGUAAGUUUUCUUUAAAACUCUGUUUUAUUAUUGUGUUUGAAUAUGUGCUUUUAAGAAUAGUGAUGUGCGAGCUCUAUGCUGCAAGUUGGUUAUGAAUAGCAUUUUGUGAGCUCUUUAUGAAUUGUGAGCUCUAUGUUUAAGUAAAUGUUUUGAUAUUAUAGUUUUUGUAACCGUUUGAUAUAAUGGCAUGUCAUAGAAUUGUGAGUACUCACCUCUGUGUUUUUUGAUUUGGGGGAGAGGCAUUGGGACAAGUUAGGAGAAAUAAAGGAAUGACAAGCUAAGCUCCAUUCGUUGAGAUAUACUGGUGUGAUGGAAAGUGUUAGCUUAACACUACAUUUAUCAGAUAUGUCAAAAUCUUUUAGUCAAAGAGGGGAGUCAUAAAGAGAUUCACUUAUCCAAUAGAAAAAAAUAAGUGAAUGAGAUAGUAUUGUUUUUCAAAAUAUUAUGUUUUACUAACUUAUACUAAGUGACAGAGUGUAUCUGCGAACCAAACUUCGUGUAAGUAUGGAGAACCCAGUUCAUAGAGCAGAAACCUUGAUAAAACUCUUGUUUAACUUAUGUUUUUGUGCGUGCUUUGUGGUUUUUCUGUUCAUUGACUAAGUUGUCCCAGUACGACCUGAACUGAACUGGCAGCAACUGAACCUACUUGGGGUGUCGGUGGCAAUGGUUCUUCGAUGGUUGAGUAAUGAAAGAAUUAUACUCCUACUAGGACUCUACCAGAGAAUUUAAUUUUAGAUUAACUAUUCCAGGAAUAAUAUUAUUUUAAUAUAUUUAAUAUUAAAUUAAAUUUAAUACUUAUUUUAAUAGUAUUUUAUUAAUUUAUUAUUAAAAUAAUUAUCUAAUAUUAAAUUAAAUUAAAUGUUUAUCUUGUAGAUAAAUAUUCUAUUAACUUAAUAAGAUCUAAUAUUAAGGUGAUUAAGUUUAAUCAUAGUUGAACUCUCUAAACUUUUUCACUCUCUAAACUUUUUCUAUAUAAAGAGAGCAUUAGGUUAUCAUUUUUUACACACUUAAAUUUAAGAGAAAUUUGUAGAGAGAAAUUUUCUGAAGAAAUUAUUUUAGAAAAUUUCUAGAAAUAUUUUUCUUAUUUACAACACGGUCCAAAAGUUUUCUAAUUCAAAGUAAUGUUUGUGAAAAGUUUUCUAAUUCAAAGUGAGCCCACACUCGAUAGACGUGAGCUUGAGGAUAACGGAGAAGACUACUCAAUUAAAGUGUUCAUCCUAGACGAAUAAAAAAAGGUACAAUUUGAUUAAGUAUUUAUUAGUUUAGAUAUAACAACCAAGUUCUUGUUUUAGAAAAAAAUUAAAAAACUCUGAUUUUAUCCUAAAUUUAUUUUCUGCUACGUUUUUCAAACCCGGUUUUCCAACAUUGUAGGUGUCCCUUAAUGGUCCAAGGACAUGUCUUUUUCACCAAUCUGAUGGAACUACCCUUUUAUGGUUUCAGCGUAAUCCUUGGAAUGGACUGGUUAAUUGAUCAUAAAUCCAAGAUAGACUUUGAAUCGAAACGAGUCACUUUACGGUAAGGUGAUGGGAUGAAAAUUACUGUGGUUGGAGAGUGAGCCCAAGUUUUUUCUAACAUGGUCUCGACAAUUAGAACUGAGAAGAUGAUGGGAAAAUGUUGUAAAGCCUACUUAGUGUACGUACUAAAUUCAAACUGUAAGAAACUAAGUGUACAUGAUAUUCACACUGUUGUCGAUUUUCUUGAUAUGUUUCCUGAUGAGCUACCUAUUAUACCACCAGAUCGCGAAGUAGAAUUCAACAUUGAGCUUCAUCUUAGAAUUGUGCUAGUGUCAAUUGCGACAUAUCACAUGGAACCAAAAGAUCUUAAGGAGUUAAAGCUCCAAUUACAAGAGCUGCUUGACAGAGGCUUCAUUUGACCUAAUGUUUCUCCUUAGGGCUCGCCAGUCCUAUUUGUAAAAAAGAAAGAUGGUUCACUAAGUCUAUUUAUAGACUACAGAUAGCUUAACAAAAUAACCAUAAAAACAAGUACCCACUGCCUCGAAUCGACGAUCUGUUGACCAACUUCGAAAAGCUACAAUGUUCUCAAAAAUUGAUUUAAGAUCAGGAUACUACCAACUUAAAGUGAAGGAGUUCGGCAUUGAAAAGACAAUGUGUAGGAUUCGAUAUAGGCAUUAUGAGUUCUUGGUUAUGCCCUUUGAUCUCACAAAUGCACCAGUGGCAUUCAUGGACUUGAUGGUUCCAUGAAUUUUUGGAUCAAUUCAUAGUGAUUUUCAUAGAUGAACUUCUAUAGUACUCACAAACCAAAGGAGAGCAUGACAUCCAUCUGCAAGCUGUGUUGUAAGUACUACGGGAAAAACAACUAUAUGAUAAGCUAAGUAAGUGUGAGUUUUGGUUAUGCAAAGUAUCGUUCUUAGGACAUGUGUUCUUAGCAAAAGGAAUUCAUGUAGACCCAAGGAAGAUCGACACAAUUGUAGAGUGGAAGACACCAAAGAGCAUUAUUGAGGUUUGAAGUUUCUUAAGAUUAACUGGAUACUAUCGAUGGCUUGUUGAAGAGUGUGUCAUCCCCUAUACUUUGAUUUUAAUCUUGGUGGUAGGUGCGGUAAGCAUCUCUACCAUCUCACUACUUUCCAGAUUAGGCAUAUUGCCCAAAGAAUAAGGCUCAGCUCGAAACCCUCUACGAUGUCCACCAUGCCCUCGUGUACCAUGACCUCACAUACCACGUGUGCUCAUUUAACUUAUCUAAAGUUCAAAAAUCUUAAAUUUAGCUUAGAUUAUUUUUAAAUCCCAAGUCUAAAGUUUAGUAGAAGCACUUAUCUUAAAGCAAAAAUUAUUUUAUUCUAUAGUCUUUAAAGGUUAGCAAUUUUACUAAAGUAACUAUAGUAAGAGUAAUUAUAGUAAAAAAUUUCUUACUUGGAUUGGCAUUGGAGUCUCAAAUUCUUUUUACGAACUCAAACAUCAAAAUUAAUCCAAAUUUAAAUUUAUUGUUGUUAAAAAUAAUUUUCAUAAAAUAUUACCCAAAAAUAACAGCCUGAGUUUAGAACUUGGCUCUAAUACCACCAAGUAUAACACCCCAAACCCGUCAUAGUCGUUAUGGCGAAAUCUUGAAGGUUACAUUAAUGAGUUGAAACUUGGUCAUUUAUUUUUAAAAUGUAUCUUUUUCCAAACCCGAAAAUAAGAGAUUUUAUAGAAACUUGCCUCAACUCUUUGGUAAGAGAAUUUGCCAAUCAUAAAAAUGUAUAUGUACAAAUUUGAAACAUUUGCUUAAAAAAAUUGAUUUUUAUAAAUUCAUGAUGCUAUCGACUUUAUUUACUUACUUUGAAAAACGCAUAAUCCCGAUUAAAAAUUUGUAGCAGAAAAUUUCUUAUAAUUGUUUAACCUUGAAAAUUGAUUGUUUAAGUUAAAUUAUUAGAAAUUGUGCCAAUUUUAGAAUAACUAAUUAAAAUACUCAACAAAUCCCAAAAACAAAAGUUAAAGUCAGAAAAAUAGUCCAAUAGUCCAUAUGUCCAUAAAAUCUAAAUUUUUUUUUUGAAAGAGUUUAACAUAGAAAAAGUGAAUUGAGCUCCCAAGCAUUGCCAAAUCCUAAGUUUGAGGAUUACCUGAAAUAUAUUUAUCAAACAAUGUGAGAUAUAAAGGUUAGUGUGUGCCUUGGCCCACAAGCUAAAAUCACAAACAGAAUCAUACUUAGAUGCAAAUACAAAAGUAGACAUAUAAAAAAAUUCUACAUGCAUAGCAUGACAUAAUCAAACAGAAUAAUCCUACCUCCAUCAGCUACACACUAACUCCGUCCAACUAAUCACACCAAAUAAGGCUACAAGAACUCAUCCAUCCAUCACAUUAUAAUAUGGUUCUAUGUCACUUAGAUAAUAUGUAGCUAUGUUGCCAGAAUAUAUAUUGUGGGUAUAAUGCCAGAAUCAUGUAAUGCAGUAAAUUUGCCAAAAUCACACUUCAUCACAUCCAUAUAUCCCACCCCAAAUGCACAUGCAAAGUCAUACUAAAAGAUCAUGCAUAAGUAUCAUAACAUGCCAUGCCUACUUAUAAAUAGUCAGAUACAUGUUUUUCAUACAUACGAGAUAAUACGACAUAUCAUACAGGAAAUCUUACUCAGAGUUUAACACCUUUAUUGAGUGAAUGCAAAUUAGAUUUAGAAAACUCACACUCGGCCUGCACAAUGCCCAAUAAAUUGCACAAACUGGGCUCACACGCCAUGUGGCCCACACACCCUACCAUACAAUCUAGCACACAACCAAUUAGAUGCCCGUGUGACCCAUACAACUUGUCAUAUGGCCAAACAGACGACCAUGCGGUGAUAUCUACCAGUUUCAAUUUUUCACAAAAUUUCCAUAUUAUUGACCUUUCAUAGUAUCUACAAGUUUAGAACACACUUGAUUACUGUUGGAAUGUAGGCACCAUACCAACAAUAAUUUUUGCACACAACAUUCACAACUAGACCCAAUUCGCAACCAAUAUUGAAACUGAUAGGUGUCGAAUCCACCAAUAUAAACCUACGCCUUAAAUUGCAAAUUAUGCAGUAUAGGGAGUAGGGUUGAUCCCUCAAAGACUGGUUUACUGUAAAUUGUUGCUCUCUUGACCAGAUUUAUGUUGGGGCAAUUGUCGUGCCCAAGAAAUUCGGGGGGAUAAAAUUUUAAGUCCUGAAAAUAAAUAAAUAAAAUGCGUGAAAAGAAAAAGUUGAAAACAUAAUAAUAAAAACAGUGAAAUAAAUAUUAAGAAAAAUUAAUUAGAAUAAGCUCAACUUUAGGCACGAAUUUUCCUCGUCUUUGAACCGAUCCUCGAAAUUGGAUGAACUCCUCUUUUCCAAUAAGCUAGUUAUAGCUACCAAGGACGCCUCGGAUACCAACUCUUCCUUGUGUAAAUUAGUUAAGGAACGUCCAAUAACUAACCCUUACCAAUCGAACAACCAUGAAACGUUCGUGAUUUAGAACUCCGGCAGCUUUGCGUUCUAGAAGAGCCUAGCUCGAACCAAUGCCCUCAACCGCGUGGGACAUUUACAUCCGGUUACUACUUCCCUUGACGGAACCAAAUAGCAAUCUCCACUUGGCACGCCAAUGUGUUCACAGAAAACUAAUUAGAAACGUUCCUUUCGGAAUUCCAACUGUACGUCUAAUCACACUAAAUCAAACGUCUUUUUUGACUUAGUGUUGACCUGACUUUGUGAGCUGACAAAAUCAUACUCUUAAUCCGGAGAAGUAAUAAGUACUGGAAUUUUAGGAGUUAAAUGACUCAGGUUCGUAACUCACGGGUUUUGACGAGGCUAAUUUCGGCCUAAAACUGAAAAUGGGUUUAGUUGGCUAAGGUUUGGGGCAUGUUGGUUUUGGAAUAAUUAAAUAAGAUUGAAUAAAUGAAAAAAAAUGAAAGUGAGUGGUGAAAGUGACGCAAUGUUGGAAAUUAAUUGCUGGCAAAAACAAAGAAAGAAAAGAUUGAAUUGCAAGAAAUAAAAGCUUAAUUUAAAAACGAAAUGAUUAAAAACUUGAUGGAAAAUUUUAUGAAAAGACUUGAUGAAAAACUUAAAAAGAACUUGCUACAAAACUUGAUAGAAAACUUGGUAAUUAAAACCUUGAUAAAAGAACUAAAUGAAAAAUAUUUGAAGAAAGAAAUAACACUUAAUGAAAGACUUAAUUGAAAGCUUGAUUCAUGAAUUGAUGAAUUGAUGAACAAUGUAGCCUCUAUUUAUACUAGUGGCUUUACUAAAUUAAGAGCCAACUAGUAUAGAAAAUCAAGGAAAAUAUUCUAUAAUAUAAAAAAUAUCCCAAAAUAAUCUCCCACUAAGUCAACAAUUUCAGCUAAUUAUUCUUGGAAAAAUUCUGCUUUGGCCCUCCUUCUUUGCUUCUUUCUUCAAUCUAGUCCAAUUGUUUCCUUUUUCUUCUAUUUAGCCCCAAAUUGCAUUCCUGCACAAAAUUCAAUAAAUAUGGCAAAAUUAAUGGUGCAUUCUCAUAAAUUAACCAAAUUAAUUACAUAAAAUAUGUAACUUUAGCAUUUAAUCAGAAACCAAAACUUGAAUUCCAUAUUUAACACUUAAUAAAACCAACCUCAAAACUAACAUUUGGUCACUUACCCAGAAGAGGAUUGAUUCCACUACAAUCAACUAGAAGAAUGAGUAACCAUUGUAGGAUCCACCGCUAAAAUAAACCCCCAAAAAUAAAGAUCAAUAACGAAGAUUAAAGAAUGACUAAAACCCCUAUCUGUCACAUGGAACCAAAUUAAUUCACCUUAUGAAGAUUAAAGAUUAAAGAAUGCACUUACAAGACUUACACGAAAACGAAAAUAUGAAUUCCUCGCUCAAAACACAACACCACAACCAUAAAAUGCCAGAAAAUGAUAACAGAGAAACAAAAAUAGAGGAACAAAGAUUGAGUUUGCAAUUACAAAAACCAAACAAAAGAGAAAGGGAAAAGAAUAGAUGAAAAAUGAUAGAGAAAAUUUGCAGAAACAAAAAUGACCAAAACAGAAAAUGGGGAGAGGGUGGAAAGAGAGGGACGACUGAAUAAAGAGAGAUUUUAGGGAUAUUUUUUAUAAUUAAAAAAAUAAAUCAGAUAAAAAUACUAUCUAAUCUAAUUAGUAACCACCUAUCAGAUUACUCAACAGUUAAAUUUGACAGAAACUCUGACAAGUAUGGGCGGCAGCAACCGAUAUACAGCAAAAAUUAAUUUCUUUUACACACAACAGAGUUUAAACUUGGGAACUAAGGGUAAACUAAAGCCUUAUUAUUGAACCAGCAGACUCAUUAUUACCAGCAAACUAGCAAGACUAAAAUAUAAGCUACAAGUGAUGAGCCAAAUGAAGAAAUAAAAAUAAUACAAAAUUUGUAAGGAAAGGGAUUCGAAUAUAAAGUCUCAGGCACAUAAACAAAACCAUUAACACAAUAAACUAAAUAAAUUUACUUGUCAUAAUUAAGCGAUUUAAAUCUAAAAAAUUUGGUGCGUUACAAUUUCCUUCAAAAAGGAAGAUUCAAGCCUGCAGGCACACAGAAAACAUCAGCAACGCAAGCUUCCUUAAAAAUACAUGAUAAUUUAGUUUUUAGGGCACACCGUCGAAUAAAGAGUCCAAUACUCAACACCCAACGUCAGCUUUCAAAACGGAUACAUUUAUUCAAGCUGCCAUCUUUAUUUAACUCAAUAAUAUUACGCCAAACCGUGGACAUUUUAUGAGUAUGAUGCAAGGAAGGCAGCCAUGAAAGUUUACCCAAUCCAUAUUUCACUACCAAUAGUUUUCUCCAAAGAGAAUUAUGCUCUGUACUAUAUCUCCACCACCAUUCGGUUAGUAGAGAGCAGAAUUUUUAUCUAUGAGUUUCCCAAUGCCUAAAGCACCACAUCUUUUAGAUUUAACAAUCAACGCCCAUUUCUCAUACAAAAAAGGAAAACCAUCUCCCAUUAAUACAAAUGACAUGUCAUCAUUGUUUCAUACAAUCCUUUACCAUUAAUACAAGUGAUUUAAUUUAAUUAAUAAUAAAAAUUAAAUAACCUAAUUUGAUUAAAUUAAAUAUUGAUGAUGGAUAUGAAAAUUAAUGUAAGUUUAAUGAUUUAAAUUGUAAAUAACUCAUUGGAUAAAUUUACAUUGAGAGUCAAAGCAUAAUUAGACUAUUAGAGAUGAUUAAUUGUCUUCAUACAUUUUGUUUGAAACUUCUAGUUAAUCUUACAAAUUUCCAUGCCUUCAAUCCAUUUUUUGACAUUAUCUAAUGAAAUAAUAUUUUGUUUGAAAUUAAGCAUUACUCCAAUAGUAGAUUUGACCACCAUUAACCAGUUCAAACCAUUUUAUAUUACUACUAUGACCUUUGUGGCCAAUGGUUGCUUCAUUGCUGAUGUUUUGAAUAGUUAUGGAAUACCCAAAACAUUUUGUAUGUAUCCUAUUGUUCAUUCCUUUUUCAAUUUAUUCAAAACUUCGUUUUUUUGUAUAAUACAGCGAUAAGAAGCUUUGUUAAUGACAUAUUAUGUUUAGUUUGCUUUGCCUAUAUAUGGAUUGAAUUAAUUUAGGCUGAUCACUCGCUAAACCUUCCAAUUAUGUCCAUAUUAUUAUGCUAAGUAUUGUUAUGAUACUUGCUAUCAUUGGUCCAAAAUCUAAAGGGGCUUGGGUCGGAUUCUAUUGAGCUCACACGUUGAGCUUGCAGACCAAGCUCGUAGGAUAAUGGAUGUUCACAGGAUAGGUACUUACAUUCUCCUGCGAAAUCAUACGUGAGAUCGUGUAUGAGACCACAUAAAUAUGUGUUAAGUCGAGAGUAGGAUACUUGUUGAUAUGUAUGGAACCUACCUAAAAUGUUAUAUCAAUGAACAGUACAAAUAUCAUAUAAAUACACAAACACCGCUAUCUAAGAGAGAUAGAGAAAACACUCAACAGAAUUUAGGUUUUAACUGGCUCUAAUCAUCACGUGCUUCUCUUUGACAGGUCUUUUCAAUUUCUAUUGAAUAAGUUUAGCUUUCACUUGAAGCUUUCCUUCAAUGAAUAUCUGCUUUUCUUCAUCUUUGAGUUUUGUUUUCCUUCAAUACCGAUUACUGAAUUAUGAGUUUUGUUAAUAGAUUUGGAAAGAAAACUCAUUGAGAUCUUUUUUCUUAUAGUUAUAAAUUAGGAAUUUGGUGGCAAAGUAGAGUUGGAAUGGCAAAGAGUAAUAGGGCUGGGCUAUCUACAGACUUGUUGACGAAGAUUUGUCAUGGUUGCAAUCGCCAUUGGUCACAACUCCAAAUAUAUAGUGUAAGCUUAGCUAAAACACAAAUAUAUUGAGCACAUACAUCAAGCGCAAUGAAGUUUCUUACAACAAAAUGCAUCGGAAAUUUGCUAUCAAGAGAAAUUUCUAAUUAAUUGCUUUUAAUUUUCCACAAAAUGUAAUAUGAAUUUCGAUUAUUAAAUUAAAGAAAUGUUAAAAAGUUCAGUCAAACAAAAUGGGUGCCGUGGACCCUUAAUUAUUUCAUCACGCAUAAAACAAUAUUAAAUAAAUUAUAAAAAAUCUAAAAUUAUAAUAACUAAAGUAAAUUAUACAACAUCUACCCAUUAAUAGGCCUAAAAAAUACGAAAGAUUGAUCACUGUAACACUCCGAAUUUCUUAGAUAUGGAAUGUUAAAUUAUAACAAAUAAUUUAAUUCUGUUUAGUGGAUAAGUGUAGUGAUUAAGUGGGUGAGGUUUUGGGUUUGAGUUUUUUCUUUAGAAUUUUGUUAAUUUUUGGUUCUAUUUCUAUCACUAAUUAUUUGAUUUAAAUCUUAUUUCUAGAUAAAUUAUUAUAGAAUAAAUCUAUUGGUUCAAUGGUUAAGUUUUAACGUAUUCUAGAGUUUAAAUCUUGGUGUGGGCAUAUGAAAUGUUUUUGUUGCUUGUUAUUUGUCAAUAGUUGAGUUCUUUUUUAAUCACAUUGGAUUAUUAUAUAAUUUUUUUUAAGUUAUCAAAAUAAAACAUAUCCCUAAAUUUACUCUAAUUUGCACGUCCAAUUACCCUUCCCUUCUCACGUUCGUUUCUUUUUCUUUUUCUUGUAUUUUCUUCUUUUGUUUUUGUAGCCUCUUUUCCAUUAUUCUUUUCUGCCGUACUUGCUUAAUUUCUGCUAUUCCAUUUUACCCCUUGUAUUCGUGCACGGUGAACGUGGAGUAAGUUUCAUUUAAUAAUUUCUGUUCUUUUCCUUUGAAAUUGUUUCUUGAACAAGAUAGGAGUUGUGCUUAUACCUAAUCUUCUUUCUUAGUUUUGAUAAGCGCUCUUGUGUUUUCGAUUAGGCGAAGGGAGUGAGAAUCUUAUUCCUCCAGCAGAAUAGUUCUCGUCUUUGGUGUUGUUUUUGAGCGGUGAGUAUACGAAUCUCGUUUUAGGGACUGAAUUUUGACCAAAGAAUGUCAAUUUGGGUGGGUCUUUGAUGAUUAAUUAGUAUGAUUUGUUAAUUGAUUGUAGGUUUUAAUCAAUUAUCUCAUCAGGUGUGUAAUUAACCCCAAACAUCAUUUAAAACUCGAGAAAAUUAUAAAAUAGGGGAUGUUUUCGAAACUGCCCAGCGUCACACGGCCGUGUGGAGCACAUGCUCUGUGAAAUAACAUGGACAUGUGGUAGGUCAUGUGGACCAAACGGACUAGCUUUUUGGGCUGUGUGGGAGCUUGUUGGGCCAAUUUUGAGGCCCAAUUAGGGCAGUUUAGGGGACUCAAAAAUUGAGUCUAUGGGCAUUAUGUAGGCCCGAAAAAACAUAAGUUUCAAUUUGCAAACAUAGGUUUGUGUAGAAAGCAUGUUAAGUAAGUCUCGAUAAGUGUAUUAAUGUGAUAUGAUAUGCUUUAUAAAUAUGUACAUUAGAUAUGCAAGCUAUAUGAUUUGUGAGUACCACAUGCUGUGUUAUGUUCCGUAUGAAAAUAUGUGUAUAUGCAUGCCAUACGAUUUAUGUUAUAUGUAUGUAUGAUAUUAUGCCUAUGUUUUGGGGUGGGAUUUGAUAUAAUGAAGGAAGUUUUAUAUGGCAGUAUUUACUGCAACUAUGGUGGCUAGAAUGCAAAUUUCUGUCUAGUAGCUCAGCGGCAUAUUAUGAGUGACAUACCUCCACAUAUUGGUGUGAUGGGAUCGAUGGAUGUACUCUUGCAGUUCUAAUUAGUGUGUUUGGUUAGAUAGAGAUGGUGUGUAGCCAAUAGGGGUAGGAUAUGUUUUGUUAUAUGAUAUGCUUUGAUAUAAAAUCUGGUAUGAUAUGAUAUGUAAUAAGCUAUGCAUCUAUUUGAUUUUGACAUAUACUAUGAUUUGUGGGCCAAAUUACACGCUGGGUGUAAAGCUCACAUGUUUGUUUUGUUUUAGGUAAUCCUUAGGCUUAGGAUUGAAUGGCGACUCUAGAGCUUGGUUUUCACGUUUGGGUUUAGUAUGUUAUGGACUUUCAAUUUUAUGGACUUUUUAUUCGGACUUUUGGACAUUUAAUUUUUUUCUAGGACGUUUAGAAUUUAUUUUGGUAGUUGUUUUGUUAAAGCUUUGGUUUUUAAUCGGAGUUAAAAACAAGACGACUAACAACAAACUAAAGGUAAAUAAGACAAAAUUUCUAUAAUGUGUCGCAGCCAAAUAUUGUCAAAAAUUGCUAGAAUGUUUUAUAUCGCAAACGAUUUAAGUAAAAUAGGUUUGUUUUUAGUAAAACUAUUAAACAUGCUUUUUCCUCGAAGCACUCAUGGGUUUUUGAGAAUUGAUACAUUUUCAAAGAGUUAUUCAAAUCGAUUUUCUUUACGUUGAAAGUGGGGUUUCAUCAAAAUUAAGAAUUAAUGUUUUCAUGUACGAUGUAAUCUCCACAUCCCGACAGUAACGUCUAAGUCGAGUUUGGAGUGUUAUACUGAGCUUGCUCGAGUAGAUACCUUGGGAAAUUAAAAUAAAUUUAAGAAAAUUAUAAUUAAAUUAUAAAAAAAUUUGUUGAAAUGUCAUUAAAUAAUUGAAAAGGGAUAAUGGAUGAUAUGGUGGGAAAUGUCUACAAAAUAAUUUCUCCGACAAAACAUAUUCAUACAUUAUCAUAACACAAUUUGAUCCACUCUUCGGUAAAUUAUACCAACAUAAAAUGUCAUUGCACAAGGGAAAACAAGAAUAAAUAAAGAAUAAUAAAUCUAAACUCAGAGUUUAGUUCAAUUGAUCCAUGUAAUCCUUUUUAAAAUGUUACAUUUAAUAGAUUUGAGAACGGAAUCCUAUAUAAUCAAUACAAACACACAAACCUUAAUUAUACAUGUUUUUUUUCCAUCAAACUACAUACCCAUAGUAGCCCAAUACACAUACAGCUUUCGACCUGGUCCAACUUUCGAUAGUAUGCAUGCCUCCAAGACCUGUUGAAAAACAAGGGAGCCACUACACCCCAAAAUCCUAUUACAAAGCCAAGAACUAUGCUACAUAAAGCCAAUUCACUUUACUUCCUUCACUGCUACUUCCAUUAUUUGCAACAUCAGUUGGAAUACCUUUUGUGUUGCAACUUUUAGUGAGAGGAGGUCCGCAAAGAUGAUUGCCCAUGUAAGAAAAGUUUUCAAAGCUUUGAAGCUGAGUGCUUAUUGGAAUUUGUCCUGUCAAGUUGUUGUAAGACACAUUGAAGUGAUUCAAGAAAUUCAAAUUGGAGAUGCUUGGAGGGAUUUCACCAUUCAAUCGAUUCACGGACAAAUCAAGAGAUUCCAUCAGCUCCAUGUUGCCAAUUUCGUUUGGUAUAUUUCCUGCUAGGAGAUUCGUUGAUAGAUUUAAUGACCGUAGCUCAAUGAGACUUCCAAUUUCAUUUGGAAUCUCUCCCGUGAGACUAUUAGUUGAAAGGUCCAUACUGGUAACAAGCCCUAGUGUGGCACUGUAUUCAUCCUCUUGUCCUUUCAGCACUAAUAAUGCACUCAAAUAAAAGAGAGUAGUUCUGGUACUUACCCACUCAUAAAUAUAGUUACUUUGGUUGCUUCUGUUGGCCAUUGCAGUCAAAUUACUAAAACAUUUUGGAAUAGUGCCUGAAAUGUUGUCAUGGGCAAGGACCAAAUUCUGAAGAUAUUGAAGAUCACAAAUUUUAUGAGGAAUAUGGCCAUCAAAAUUAUUUGAUCGAAGGCUUAGAACCUUAAGUCUUGAGUGCUUGUCUCUAAUCCAUUCUGGUACACUUCCAUUGAAAUGAUUUUCACUAAAAUCAAGCAUAAUCAAACUGGAAUUUUGCAAUGUGGAUGGCAAUGCUCCAAACAUGCUAUUAUUCCGAAGGUUUAGCAUUGAAAGAUUUAUAUGCCCUAAAGAAGGUGGGAUUUUACCGGUCAAACUGUUGCUUCCCAAAUUUAAAUGCCCUAAAUUCUGCCAAUGAUUCUAACAAUCUGGAAUUUCUCCUGAGAUGAGAUUUUUAUCAAUGUAAAGAACUUCCAUCCCUCCCCUACUUGGUGAAUUACAAACUAAUUAAAAAAGAGAUCCUGAAAAUGAAUUAUCUGACAAAAUUAAAAAUUUUAAAGUUGGGAAUACUACUCUUGGCAAUUGGCCUGUGAAUCGGUUUGAACUCAAGUAAACAAUGUAUGUCACAUUCAAAUAUGAAAUCCCUCCACUAAGUUGAUUAUAGGAAAGAUUUAAAUAUUUAAAUGGAAUGGGAAGGUUCAAAAACCAAGUGGGCAUGACAUUAGAAAUUCCUGCAUCAGAGAUAUCUAACACAGACAACUUCUUUUGGAACUUUAACCAUUGGGGAAAUUUUUGGCCAAGAUGCCAAUGACCCAAUUCAAUAAUUCCACAUUGAAAUGGGAGAAUCCAGCUUGAGUUCGGUUCAAAUAUUGUGUGAUGCCUUCAAAGUUGUCAAUCUGGUGGGAUUAGAAAAAUGGGUUUCUAAUACAACUCCUUCCAAUAGAUUAUACCCAAAAUCUAGAGUUUCCAAACUUUCAAGUUGUCCAAAACAUAAAGGAAAAAUACCAUUUAAUUGAUUUUCUGAAACAUCAAAGAACUUCAAAGAUGAUAACUCCCCUAUGGACACAAUUGAAUGGGACCAAAAAUUUUGUUUCGAGCAAGGGACAGGUAAGCUAGAUUUUUAAAUUGGCCAAGUUGAUCAGUUAAAUGACCAGAAAGUUCGUUACCUGCCAUAUCCAAUGACUCUAAGGAACCCAAACAACAUCUAGACAAACUCUGUAGGAUUUCUGAUAUUCCAUCUUCAAUUUUUUUAUAUGACAAAUCCAUCUCCUUCAAUUUGCACAGAUAUUCCAGAGAGGUUGAUAAUCUUCCCUUCAACAUAAAAUUUGAACAAAGAUCAAGGUGAGUAAUAGAGCUCAAGUUUCCAAUGGUUCUCGAGAUUGUUCCUUGUAACUGGUUUUCACCACGACUCAGGAACUGAAGACGGUUUAAACUAUACAAGGAAUUGGGUAUGGAUGAAUUGAGAUGAUUCAAAGUAAGAUCAAGAACUUCAAGAAACGAGAUGUUCCCAAAGUAAUAUGGAAUUGGACCUUCCAAAGAAUUCUCACUAAGAUCAAAGGACAUAAGACUAUGAAGACUAAAUAUCGACUUCGGUACUGAAGAAAAGCCGUUCCCAGAAAGAUCAAGAAUAACCAGUGAUUUUGUAGAAUUAACACUAACCGGAGAUGGAUCAUCUUCUAAACAACAAUUUGACAAGCGCAACUUUAACAAAGAAGGAUGUUUGAAUGUUACCUGUAGCCAAUCAUUUGCUUUAGAAAGAUCCGCACCACUCAAAUCAAGGUACUGCAAGGAAGAAAGUCCAGAAACCCAUUGAAAACUUUUUGGUUUGAGAUAAUUACCUCCAAGAUCAAGAUAAUGCAACUUUGAGAGAUUCCCAAGGUUAUGAGGAAUUCCUUUCGGGAAUCCAGCUUGAGAGGUUAAGAUGUGUUCAACUCCCCAGCAUACCAAAAAAUUUCAGGAUAUAUAUGCUGCUAAAAUUGUUAUAGCUCAAGUCCAGGGAACUGAGAUGCUUCAACUCCAGCAGUGAAGGAUUUAUUUUGCCUCCUAGAUUUGACCGCUCGUAAGCUUCCCAUUCAAAACAUGGUGCAAAUUCAUCAGGCUCUGAAAGAGUAGGAGCCAAGUUCAGUUGGUGGACUUGGCCUGUUGAGUUAUGGCAGACGACACCAAUCCAUUCACAGCAAUCCCCACCUUCAACCCAUGAAGAUAGCCUGUUUGAAGGAUCAAUAAGAUGAUUCUUGAAUUUCAAAAGACCUUCUCUCUCACUUUGAAUGCAACGUGCGUUGGAAUUGGCAUCACAAAUGGUAAAACAGAUAGCGGCAUUGAGAAGAAGAAAAGGGAAUAAGGAAAUUGGAAGAGGAGCUGUCAUGGUUGCAAUUGCCAUUGCUCACAACUCCAAAUAUAUUGAGUAAGCUUAGCAAAAACACAAAAUCAUACAUGAAGCGCAAGGAAGUUUCUUCAAACAAAAUGCAUCGGAAAUUUGCCAUCAAGGAAAUCUCUAAUUGAUUGCAUUUAAUUUUCCACAAAAUGUAAUAUGAAUUUCGAUUAUUAAAUUAAAGAAAUGUUAUAAAGUUCAGUUAAACAAAAUGGAUGCCGUGGUCCCUUAAUUAUAUCUUCAUGCAUAAAACAAUAUUAAAUAAAUUAAGAAACUAAAAAAAAAUUAAAGAAAAUUAUAAGAAAAUUUUAUCUAAAAAAAAUUAAAGAAAAUUAUAAGAAAAUUUUAUCUAUUUUUAUUUUUAAAUUUUAAAGAGCUUACUUUUUUUAUAUAUUUUUUUGAAAAUCUUUAAAAUUUUAAAUUUCUAAAUUUUAUAUAUUUUUUUAAUUUUUUAAAAUAUUUUAGAUUUUUUAAAUUUUUAAAAAGUGGCAUAUAAAAUAAAAUAAUGUUAAUGUAAACAAAAAUAUUGUCCACGUACAUUAGGGGCAAGGGAUGUUAUCAAAAUUUUCCACAAAAUGUAAUAUGAAACUCGAUUAUUAAAUUUCAGUCAAACAAAAUGGAUAUGAUGAAGGAAGACAUGGAAUUUGAAUAACAUUAUUUUUCUCUAUGUUUGGGUAUCAUUAAGCCAAAAUUUGAAAACGAUUAUUGAAAAUAAUGAUUUUUUUCUUGCCCUCAAACAUUUACUGAAAAUAAAUCAAUUUAUCUUUUACUCUCCUUUAUUUAACUCUUAAAUAUGUUUUUAAAGACAACCAUAAAACUUAUAUAUAUAUAUAUAUAUAUAUAUAUAUAUUAGCAUAUUUUUCAAAUUUCGUGUUAAGUUUUAUUUGCUUGUAUCAAAUUAUAAAGUAAAAUUUUGAAGGUUAAAAUAUGCUCUAUGUGCUUUAAAUUUGGAUGGUAGUUUUGUACUUUUAUUUUUAAAAAUUUAAUCCAUUUUUAAAUUUAAAAUCUCAAGUCCAAUAAUUAUUGCCAUUAAAUUAUUCUAUUAAAUUUAAUGGUGUGACGUUUAAACUUUAAAAAAAUACAUCCACUUAAUAGUUCUAUAACAAUAAUAUUGAAAAUUCUAAUUAAUAUAUUUUUUUUCUUAAAAGACACUAGUUUGAACUCAACUAAGUCUAUGGAAUAAAUCCCACUCCUGCUGUUUACUUGCUAUUUAAAAGAAAUUGAUACAUCAAAAUAGCUUUCAAAGCAUUUUCAUUUAGGAAAAUUCGACGUUAAACUUGAUAACGCCACAAGGAGGAGUUAUCAAAUCUAGCAGUUAACCAAAUUUAUGGACAUUUAAUCGAUCAACUUGGCAAUUUAAAAAUCUAGCUUACUUGGCCCUUGCUCAAAACAAAGUUUAUGGUCCCAUUCCGUUGUCGAUAGGGGAGUUAUCAUCUUUGAAGUUCUUUGUUGUUUCAGAAAAUCAAUUGAAUUGUACUUUUCCUCUAUGAUUGGGACAACUGGCAAACUUAGAAACUCUAAAAUUUGGGCAUAAUCUAUUGGAAGGAGUUGUAUUAGAAACCCACUUUUUUAAUUUCACGAGAUUGAUAACUUUGAAAGCAUCAAAGAACAUGUUGAGAUUUGAACCAAACUCAAGUUGGAUUCCCCCAUUUCAAUGUGGAAGUGUUGAAUUGGGUGAUUGGUAUCUUGGCCUAAAGUUUCCCCAAUGGUUAAAGUUGUAUCAUUUAGAUAUCUCCUAUGCAGGAAUUUCAGAUGUCAAGCCCACUUGGUUUUUGAACCUUUCCACUCAAUUUGAAUAUGCAAAUCUUUCCUCUAAUCAACUUAGAGGAGAGAUUUCAUAUUUGAUGUGAAAAUAUUGUUGACUUGAGUUCAAACCAAUUCACAGGUCUACUGCCGAGAGUAUUCCCGACAUUAGAUUUUUUAGUUUUGUCAAAUAACUCAUUUUCAGGAUCCCUUUCUGAUUUAGUUUGUAACUCAUCGGGAGAGGGAUGGAUGAGAUCUCUUUACAUUGAUGCAAAUCUUCUUUCUGGGGAAAUUCCAGAUUGUUGGAAUCAUCGGUUUUUGAAUUAUUUAGAUUUGGCGAACAACAAUUUGACUGGAAAAAUCCCACCUUUGUUACAUAAAGAUCUUAGACUGCUCAACCAUCGAAAAAAUAGCAUGUUUGGAGAAUUACCCUCCACAUUGUGAAAUUCUACGAGUUUGUUUAUUCUUGAUCUUAAUGAAAAUUAUUUCAGUGAAAGUGUACCAGUAUGGAUUGGUGAUAAGCUCUCAAAACUUAUGGGUCUAUGCCUUCGAUCUAAUAACUUCAAUGGCCAUAUUCCUCAUAACAUUUGUGAUCUUCUAUCUUUCAAAACUUGGACCUUGCCCAUAACAACAUUUCAGGGGUUAUUCCACCAUGUUUCAGAAAUUUAACUGCAAUGGCCACAAAAACCAAAAUCAAUAGUGAACUUAUUUCGUGGCCAAUCCUUGGCCAUUCAUUAAUUUUAGAGCAUUAUUGGUGAUGAAAGGGCGAGAAGAUGAAUAUGAGACCACACAAGGACUUGUUACUAGCAUGACCUUUCUGCUAACAGUCUCACAGGAGAGAUCUCCAAAGAAAUUGCAAGUCUCAUUGGGCUGUGAUCAUUAAAUUUGUCAGGGAGGCGACAUGGAGUUAAUAGAAUCUCUUGAUUUUCUGAUGAAUCAAUUGAAUGGUGAAAUCCCUCGAAGUUUUUGAAUUUCUUGAAUCACUUCAAUGUCUCCUACAACAACUUGAUAGAAUAAAUCUCAACAAGCACUCAACUUCAAAGCUUUGAAAACUUGUCUUAGGUGGGCAAUGAUAUUUGUGGACCUCUUCUCACUAAGAACUGCACCACAAAAGGUUUUUCAACUGAUGUUACAAAUAAUGGAGAUAGCAAUAAAAGAAGUAAAGUGAAUUGGCUUUAUGUCAGCAUAAUUCUUGGCUUUGUAAUGGGAUUUUGGGGUGUGGUGGCUCCCUUGUUUUUAAUCAGAACUUGGAGGUAUGCAUAUUAUCAAAAGUUGGAUCAUGUUGGUCGGAAGUUGUGUCUUGAGCUACUAUGGGUACGUAAUUUGAUGAAAAAAAAACAUGUAUAAUUAAGAUUUGUGUUUUAUAAUUGAUUAUAUAAUCUUCAGAUCUCAGAUCUAGGAACUAAUAAUUUUGAGUUUAGAUUUUAGUACUCAGUACAUGAUUGGUGUUUUUCCUUUUGCAAUAAUUAAUGUCAUUUCAAGCUUGUAUAAUUUAAUGAAAGUGUGUUUUGACAAUGAAUGAUUAGGUUAAAGAGUGCAAUAGGGUAAAUUUUUACUAACUUUUGUCCAGCUGAUUAACUUCAACAAUAUACAAAUCCAUCAUAUCUUGUUAACUUUAUCUGUUUCUAGAAACUUUUGUGAGGAAUUCAAAAAAUCAUGCUCGCCUCUCAUUUAGUAAAUUUCUUCUCUCUUUUUUUCCCUAGGGUGUCAAAAACCUUUUUUUAAACGAUUUAUAUUUCGAAAACGAAAAUGGGAGUCACCACCAAUCUCUUUUAUGAGGUGUGAUUGGAUCACCUCGUAAUUUGAUUGUUUUAAUAAAAAGGCUUGAUCCACUAAAACAAUGAUUUUUGGUCUACAAAAUUCAGGAAAUGGGUUUGGGAGUCGGUUAUGCACGAGGAAGGAUUAGCACCCUCAUUACGCCCAAAAUUGGUACCUAAUUGAUUACUUGAUGUCUUAAUGUCGAAAAUUGAAAAUUUUAAGAGAAUUUAAAAUGUGAUCCCUUCGUAUUAAGAUAUUUUAAUAGAAAGGGUUUUAUUCUGAAUUAAUCGAGAAGAAGGAUCAUGUCCCGUCAAUUAGGACAUGACACCUUUAGUUUUCGAAAAUCAAAAUACUCGCUGUGUAAAUCGUUACUUAAAUGGAUAUUCGACUAUUUCAGUUUUAGAAAGAAGCCAUACUCCAUAAGUUUGGAGCACGACUUUUCUAAUUUCAAAAACAAUGAACAUUGCCACGAUUUGAAAAUUUUACCUUUUUUGUGCAACGUGCAAAAAAAACAAACGUAAUACUUAAAACGAUAUGCAUUUUACUUAUUCGGGCAUAAUAUACACGUGGAUAAAUGCUUAAAUUUAACGUAUGAUAUGGUGAUAGCGAAAUAAUAUAAGAUUGCCUAUGUGGGUAGAUAACAAAACAAAUAAAGUAACUUAUUUGAAAAUAAAAAAUAAAAAAUAAAAUGAAAGGGAAGUAUAAGUAAUAUCAAAUUUAAAUAUUUAAAAUAUAAAAGAAUAAUAAAUAAAUAGGAAAAAAUUAGAAAUAUAAUAUUAAAUAAAUAGGCAAAACAAAUAAUGUUAAAUUUAAGUAUUUAAAAAGUAAAAGAAUAAAUAAAUAAAUAAAUAAAUAAGUAAUAUUAAAUUUAAGUAUAUGAGAAAUAUACUUAAAAAUAAAAAAUAAUAAUGACAAUAUACAUAAAUGAAAAGAAUAUAAACAAUAUUUUUUUAAAUAUAUGAGAAAGAAUAAAGAAAGAAUAAAUAAAUAAGUAGAUAAAUAUAAAAGAAAACAAUUUAAUAAAGAUUAAAAAUAAAGGACUAAAUCGAAAUUUAAAUGAAAUUAAGGGCAUAAAUUAGAAAAAGAAAAAGAAAUAUAUAAAUAAAUAGGCUAAUAAGGACUCAAAUGGAACACGCUAAAAGAGACAGGGACCGAGUGGGAAAAUAUCCCAAACUUUCCUAUGCGCAUCAUUUAAAAGGACCAAAAUAAAAAAAUUUAAAAUUUAAGGGGAUAAAUUAAAAAGAAAAAAAGAAAUAGGACUAUAUUGAAAAAUUCUUAAAAAGUAGAAGGACAAAAAGCGCAAAUAUCCCCCUUUUUAAAAAAAGCCAGAUCUUGAGGCCGGUCGGGUCGAUAAUUGUGUCGAUCUUCAAAACGACGUCGUUUUGGCGUCUGUGACUUAAGCCCAAAAUUACGUCGUUUUGAAGGGCUAUAUAAGUGAAAAAAUUAAUUAAAAAAUCACUUUUGUCUGUUAAAAAAAACUUUUCAGCCUUUUUUUUCUCUCAGUCUUCCCCACUCCGGCCACGGCACUUGCGAGCUUCUGCCGACGGCCAUUGGUCGCUAAUGACUGCUCUGCCAUUCCCAGUGGCCGAAAAACCUAAAAUGCCCCUUUUGCUUAUAUUUUUUGUAGAACUCCGAUUUGGAGUUAAAACUACCAAAAUCAAAGCCAAAGUUCCAGAAAAAUGAGAAGACUCCUCGGCUCCAGUGGCAGAAAACAACCACCAAGUGAGAUUUUUUUUCUUUUCUUUAUAUUUUAUCUUUUUAUAUAUAUAAAAAUACAUUCAAAGAAAAAAGGAAAAGAAAAAAGAUCACCUUUGAAUUUUUUUCGAUUGCUUUGUUUUUUUUUUAUUUCUAUUUUUUUGAUGAAAAAAAACCACAUACAAUCGAUUUUUGUAAGCUUUUUAUAGCCAAAUUACAACAUUAUUUUUCUAUUUUUUUCUACUGUUUGCUACUGUUCUUGCAUGUUUUUUGCAAGGGUAGUUGACGAAGCAAUUGGUGGCAGGUGCUAGGAGCGGCGGGCAAAGGCUAGGGUGCGCUAGGGUUUUUGUUGUUUUUUUUUUCUUGAAAAUUGUUUAGUUUGUUGGGCCAUUGGGCCUUUAAUUAGACUUCAAACUUUUCAUUAUUGACGUGACAUUAAUUUAUAUUUAUGUCACAUUUACAAAUAAUUUUAAAACUAUAAAAAAAUAUUCAAUAAAUUAUAAACUUGACAAGGAAGUUGGACAAAGUCUAUGGAGUAACUUCAAGUCCCAUGAUAUGACCUGCCAAUUAAGAUUUUUUAGGUCUUUAAAAUGAAAAGAAAGGAAAAUGAAAAUUUUAGAAAACAUAUAAUUUGAUUAAGAUUUUUAUUUUUACAUUUAUAUUUUGGUUAAAUCAAAUCAAAUUUUAAUUUAUAAUUGACUAAAAUUAUGCAAAUUGUUCAACAAGCUCAUGCCCGAAGUCAGUGAGGAUCUAAAUAAACGUAUCAAGGAACUACCUAUAUUAGCACAUUUAGUGAUGUGAUCUGCAACACCAAGAGUUUUUGGGAUAUGUCGGAUACGAAUCUCCCAUUUCCAACGCAAUACUUGAUGUAACAGCCACAGUUCCACUAAAUUACUACUAGCUCCUUCACCAGACAAAAACAAUUCAACCAACAAAGCAUUAUCACACUCAACUUCAACUUUCCGAAAUCCUUUAUCCCAAGCUAAGAAUAAUACUUCCAACAUUGCUCUUGUUUCAACUUUAAAGACUGACUCAUAUUUAAUUUUUUUUAAAUGUUUAUAUUGUGAAUUGUGGGUAAUAUUUUUAUAUUUGUGUGCUCAUAUUACAUUUCAUUUUCAUAAGAUUAUGAAGGAUAUUGAAGUUUUAGUUACAUUCUAAUACGAAUUUCAAUCAUCCAAUUGAAUUUGCUACUUUCUUUCUCUACCUAACGUGGAAUUUAGCAAGCUUUAAAAUUCCUCAAGUAGCGUUGAUGAAGUCAAGUCAACAAAGUCUAUGGAGUAAGUCUCACUCCCUCGGCAUGCUCUGUUUACUCGCUGAUAUUUUCUUCAUUAUAUACAGUAAGCAAAGAAGAAAAACCAUCACUAAUAUCUUUUCAAUUUAAUAGCUUUCAUACCAUUUUCAUUAAUAAAUAUUAUCUUUUACUCCGUUGAUUGUGCUUCACUGAAUUUUUCAAUAAAUAUGAUUGAUGGGGUUUUUUAAAGGUAAAUUUCAGAUAUAGGAAGGAAAAGGAAAAAGAAAAAGAAUGGCAAUGUUGGGCAUGAACAAAGGAAAGAAGAUGGAGAGAUCAAAUUCAUCACAAAGCUACAAACAACUCUAAAAAUAAAAUAUUAUUAAAUAUGUUAUUGAGGUUUAUUAUUAAGUAAAAAAAGCAAUGAUUAAAGUUAGGGGUGAAGCCAAAACAACUUUUCAGAGGGGCCGAAUGAAAUUUUAAUUUUUUAUAGUCUAUAUCUUUAUAACUUUUAAAAGAGUAAAUCGAAUUUUUAUAAUUUUAGGGGGUCAAAAUGUAAUUUUACAUUUAUUAAUUUAAAAUUUUAAAAAAAUUAAGGACUUAAAUAGUAAUUUUAUAUUUUAAGGGGGCCGUGCCCUUGCCAGCUGCCUAGAUUCGCCGCUGAUUAAAAUUCUUGUCAGAUGUUUAUUUGGUACGGAUUCAAACCAUAUUUUCCUUAUCCCUUACCUUUAAUAUUAUAAUAAAAAAAAACCUAUUGCAGCGUCAAAUUUUCUUCCAUGUCUUAAUGAAUUAGUUAAUCAAAUUUUACUCAUAUUCGUUUAGAUUUUGCUAAUCAAAAUUAAUUAUUGUUUUAAAUGGUUAAAUAUAAACACAUUAUAAUUGUCGGAACUAUAAAAAUGCUAACAGGUUACGAUAUAUUUUAUUUUUUUAUGUUUAUUAAAUGCACCUUAUUGUACUCUUUAACCCAACAACAUUUUCAUUAUUGACAUACAAUUAAACACAAUCACACAUCAUGAAAGCUCUAAGUUCAAAAAAUUGAACAAGCUUGAAAUGCUAUUCAGUUUUGCAAAAGGGUCUAAACUCGAAGUCAAGAUCGAUUGAUUCAUGUAAUCCCUUUUAAAAUAUAGCAUUUAAUAGAUUUGAGAUCGAAAUCCUAUAUAAUCAAUUACAUACACAAACUUUAUUUAUACAUAUUUUGUUUUUCAUCAAACUAUAUACCCAUAGUAGCCCAAAACACAUAUAGUUUACCAUAGACAUUGUCCAGCUUUCGAUAGUAUGCAUGCCUCCAAGACCUGAUGAAAAACAAGGGAGCCACUACACCCCAAAAUCCCAUUACAAAGCCAAGAACUAUGCUGACAUAAAGCCAAUUCACUUUACUUCCUUCACUGUUACUUCCAUUAUUUGCUACAUCAGUUGAAAAACCUUUUGAGGAGCAAUUUUUAGUGAGAGGAGGUCCGCAAAGAUGAUUGCCCACGUAAGACAAGCUUUCAAAGCUUUGAAGCUGAGUGCUUGUUGGGAUUUGCCCUAUCAAGUUGUUGUAAGACACAUUGAAGUGAUUCAAGAAAUUCAAUUUGGAAAAACUUGGAGGGAUUUCACCAUUCAAUUGAUUCCUCGACAAAUCAAGAGAUUCCAUCAACUUCAUGUUGCCAAUUUCGUCCGGUAUAUUUCCUAUUAGGAGAUUCCCUGAUAGAUUUAAUGACCGUAGCUCAACGAGACUUCCAAGUUCUUUUGGGAUCUCUCCAAUUAGUCUAUUAGUUGAAAGGCACAUGCUCGUAACAAGCCCUAGUGUGGCACCGUAUUCGUCCUCUCGUCCUUUCAGCACCAAUAAUGCACUCAAAUAAAGGAAAUUAGUACUGAUACUCGACCACUGAAACAUAUAGCAGUGCUGGUUGCUUUUGUUAGCCAUUGCACUAAAAUUACUAAAACAUUUUGGAAUAGCUCCUGAAAUGUUGUUAUGGCCAAGGUCCAAGAUCCGAAGAGAUUGAAGUUGACAAAUUUUUUGAGGAAGGUGGCCAUCAAAGUUAUUCGAUCGAAGGCUUAGAAUCUCAAGUUUUGAGAGCUUGUCCCCAAUCCAUGUUGGUACACUUCCACUGAAAUGAUUGUCACUAAGAUCAAGCAUAAUCAACCUCGUAGAAUGUUGCAACGUAGAUGGUAAUUCUCCAGACAUGCCAUUGCUACGAAGGUUUAGCACUAAAAGAUUUAAAUGUCCCAAAGAAGGUGGGAUUUUUCCGGUCAAUUUGUUGUUUUCCAAAUUCAAGUAACCCAAACCUCGCCAAUGAUCCCAGCAAUCUGGGAUUUCUCCGGAGAGAAGAUUUGUUUCAAUGGCAAGAAUUCUCAUUGGUCCCUUUCUUAAUGAAUAACAAACUAAUUCAACAAGCCGGCCUGAAAAUGAAUUAUUUGACAAAAUUAAAAUUUGUAAAGUUGUGAAUACUCUUGGUAAUGGGCCUGUGAAUCGGUUUGAACUCAAGUCAACAAUUUCUGUCACGUUCAAAUAUGAAAUCCCUCCAGUAAGUUGAUUACAGGAAAGAUUUACAUAUUCAAAUUGAGUGGACAAGUUCAAAAGCCAAGUGGGCAAGAUAUCCGAAAUUCCUGCAUCCGAGAUAUCUAAAACAGAUAAAUUCUUUUGGAAUUUUAACCAUCGAGGAAACUUCGGGCCAAGAUGCCAUUGCCCCAAUCUGAUAAUUCGGCAUUGAAACGGGGGAAUCCAGCUUGAGUUUGGUUCAAAUCUCAGCCUGUUCUGUGAUGCCGCUAGAGUUGUCAAUCUCCUGAGAUUAGAAAAAUGGGUUUCCGACACAACUCCUUCCAAUUGGUUACACCCCAAAUCCAGAGUUUCCAAACUUUUCAGUUGGCCAAAACAUAGAGGAAAAGUACCAUUUAAUUGAUUUUCUGAAACAUUAAACAACUUCAAAGAUGAUAACUCCCCUAUGGACAAUGGAAUGGGACCAGAAAUAUUGUUUCCAGCAAGCGACAAGUGAGCUAGGUUUUUAAAAUGCCCAAGUUGAUCAAUUAAAUGGCCAAAAAGAUGGUUAUGUGCCAUAUCCAAUGACUCUAAGCAAUCCAAACAACAUCUAGACAGACUCAGAAGGAUUUGUGAUAUGUCUUGAUCAAUUUCAUUGCUCGAAAGAUUAAGGAAUUGAAGAUGAUACAAACUAAACAAAGAGGUGGGUGUGGAUGAAUUGAGUGAGUUCCCACUAAGAUCAAGAACUUCAAGAAGUGAGAUGUUCGUAAAAUAAUCUGGAAUUGGGCCUUUCAAGGAAUUGCCACUAAGAUCAAUGGACACAAGAUCAUGAAGACCAAAUAUCGACAUAGGUACUGAAGAAAAGUUGUUCUCAGAAAGAUCAAGAACAACCAGUGAUUUUGUAGAAUUGACACUGAUCGGGGAUGCAUCAUCUUCCAAACUGCAAGCUGACAAGUGCAACUCUAACAAUGAAGGAUGUUGGAAUGUUACCUGUAGCCAAUCUGUUGCUUUACUAAGAUCCGCAUGACUCAAAUCAAGGUACUGCAAGGAAGAAAGUCCGGAAACCCAUUGAAGGCUUUUUGGUUUGAGAUCAUUACCUCCAAGAUCAAGAUACUGCAACUUUGAAAGAUUCCCCAGGUUAUGAGGAAUUGCUCCCUGGAAUCGUGCUUGAGAGAGGUUAAGAUAUGAUAAACUCUCCAGCAAACCGAAAAACUUCGGGAUCUGUAUGCCGCUAAAAUUGUUAUUGCUCAAGUCCAGGGAACUGAGAUGCUUCAACUCCAGCAGUGAAGGAUUUAUUUUGCCUCCUAGCAGGGAAUUGUUCUUUGAUCGAUGGUAAGCUUCCCAUUCAGCAACUGGUGCAUCAAAAUGGGCCACUGAAAGAGGAGCAGCCAAGUGCAGUUGGUUGAUAUGGCCUGUUGAGUUAUGGCACACGACACCGAGCCAUUUACAGCAACCCCCACCUUCAACCCAAGAAGACAACCUGUUUGAAGGGUCAACGAGAUCAUUCUUGAACUUCAAAAGGGCUUUUCUCUCACUUUCAAAGCAAAGCACAUUGGAAUUGGCAUCACAAAAGCUAAAACAGUUAGCUAGAAUGACAAGAAGAAAUGGGAAUAAGGUAAUUGUAACACUUUUCAUGGUUGCGAUGGUACCAACCAUUGGUUGCAACUCCAAAUAUAUAGAGUAAGCUUAGUAAAACAAAAGUAUUGUGCACAUACAUCAAGCAGAAAGAAGUUUCUUCCAAAUUUCCACAAAAUGUAUUUAAUUAAUAAUAGUCUAUCAGAAAUUUCCAGUCAAAUAUAAACACCACUUUAUCCAAAAUGAAAUUACAUAUCCAUAGUGCUGGACUGAGAUAGAGUAAGCUAAAACAAAAACAUUGUCCACAUCAUAGGCAAGGAACUUUUUUUCAGUACCCCAAAAUUCCAACAUGAAUUUUCCAAAAAGAAAAAACUAUAAAUUUGUCAAUUUUAAUAAAUUUGGACAGAAAAAACAAAAUAGAAUUAUUAAUUGUUCAUGCGAGAUGCAAUGUUGAUAUGAUGUCACAUUAUUAAUUUAUUCCUAAUUAUAAAUAAUUUAAUAGAUUUAAUCCUCUACUUUUACAAAUUCUAUUAAUUUGAUACGUAAACACAUAUAAUUAAAUACAAAUAUAAUUAAAUAAUUAUUAUAUAUUAUGAAAAAGUAUAAAAUGUAAUAUUAUUUACAUUAUUUUAUAUCAACACAUACUCUGUAUCUAAUACUUACACCUGAGUCCAAUAACAUGAUCCCAAACAAUAUUAUUAGAUUAGUGACUUGUGCUUUCAGGAAUCAAAGAACGAAAAAGCAAAAACAACAUAUAGUGACUGAAAAACACAAAUAACCACACAAUGAAUGAUGAAAGACUCUACUAAAUUUAACUUGCAAAAAUAAGAACUUCAAUUAAAUUCUUUGCUUUUAAGAGAUUAGUGUGUUGUUAAGCUAGUUAUGAAGCUUGCUAAAGAAUGUGAUUUUGAGGAGAUUAAGGUUAACAGUUCAGUAAUUCUUGAUGCUGAGAAAGCUAAAGUCACCAUGUUGACAACAAAAAAGUUUACAGAAGCUUCAAUCAUCCUUAGUUUCGUGCUUAUAAAUUUCGUAUUUAAUAAGGUGCCUUAAAAAUUUUGCACUGAUUAUAUAUAAUAAUAUUAUAAUUUUCCUUAAAAUAGAUUCAAAUAAUAUUAUAUAUUUUACAUUUUUAUAAUUAUAUAAAAAUUAUUUAAUUAUAUUUAUAUUUAUUUAUAUGUAUUUAAGGAUCAAAUUGAUAAAAGUUAUAAAUAUAAAAAACUAAAUGUGUCAUUAUCCAAUUAAAAAAAGACUAUAUCUUCACUUUGGUGACCAAACAUAAAUUUUUCUUCACUACCCCAAAUUUCCAGCUUAAAUUUUCCGCAGAAAAGCUAUAGAUUUGUCAAACUUGAUAGAGAAAUUGUUCACGCGAAUAAUUCAUAUGUAUUUCAUAAUAUUUUGAAAUUAUAUUAUUUUAUAUCGAAAUGAUAUCAUAAUAUUAUUGUAUUUUAUAUUUCAGGUAUUUAGCGAAAUAAAAUAAAAUUAUAAUCAAUUGAAUGUUUCUUUUUGGGAAGUUCUAAUUAAUUGCUUUAAAAUUUUGAUAUGUCGAUAUUUAAUAUAUAUAAUAUGAGAAAUAAAUAAUUAUGAUUACGUUACAUUUUUUAUUUGAAACACAUAUUUACAAUUUGAGAAAUUUACUCUUUUCUUCCUUGUCACCUGUAAACAAGAGAAGAAAAUAAGGAAAAACUAGGAGUAACGAAGGCUAGCUUACCUGUAAAGAUCGAGAGCUAGAAUAAGGACAAGAAGACAGACCGAUUAAGAGGAUAAGUGUUUAGAGUAACUCAGUCCCCUUGUCUAUUGGUAUGAUAUGACUAAAUAAGUAUUCAAUUUUGUUAAAUGUGUAAUGGAUAACCAUAGGUGCAUUUAAGGGAUUCUAUUAAUAUGAGGUAGUCAAGCUUAAAUAGACUCCUUAAUAUCUUGAAAAUAUGUUCAAAUUAGGAUAGUGUCCUCUUUUAAGCUCGGGUGAUCCUACUUAAGAAGUCAAUAUAGAAUUAACCAUGCUAUGCUGACACUUCGUUUGUUUUAGUUGAAUAUUGAUGAGUCUUUGUCCUAUUUGGUUGCUUAGAAGACUUAAAAUGGCAUACUUGUGUAAAGAUAACGAUGAAUCAGUCAUCAUCAACCUGUUUACUAUAUUACUUAAUUUGUCAAUAAAAUUGAAUUGUAGUUGGCUUAUGAUUGGAUGGGUUUUGUCUUUCUUUGGGACAUAAAUUUCAGUCACUGUGCAAUAUGGGAUAAGAUACCUGUUGAUUAUAUUACCUAAUUUGUAUGAAAUUGAACUGUUGUUGGCUUAUGAUUGGAUGGGUUUUUCUCAUUGGGAGGUAAGUUUCAGUCAUUGUUAUAACAGGAUUUUGCUUCUUAGACCUGGCACACACUUACAUGUUCUUUUUGCAUUUCAUGAAAAAGUUAAAUUAUCUAAUUAAAUUGAUAAAAUGUGUAAAUAUAGAAAAUUAAAUGUGUCAUUAUCCAAUUAAAAAAAGACUAUAUCUUCACUUUAUUGACCAAACAUAAAUUUUUCUUCACUACCCCAAAUUUCCAGCUUAAAUUUUCCACAGAAAAGCUAUAAAUUUGUCAAACUUAAUAGAGAAAUUGUUCAGGCGAAUAAUUUAUAUGUAUUUCAUGAUAUUCUGAAAUUAUUUUAUUUUAUAUCGAAAUAGUAUCAUAAUAUUAUUUUAUCUUAUAUUUUACGUAUUCAACGAAAUAAAAUAAAAUUAUAGUCAAUUGAAUGGGAAAGUUCUAAUUAAUUGCUUUAAAAUUUAAACAUGUCGAUAUUUAAUAUAUAUUAUAAUAAUAUGAGAUUACAAUAAAGAGAAAUAAAUAAUUAUUUUCACGUUACAGUUUUUUUGACACAUGACAUUUGUCAUUUGAAACACAUAUUUACAAUUUGAGAAAUUUACUCUUUUCUUCUUUGCCUUUUAAUUUUUUAAGUCAUUCCAUACUUUUUUUUAUUUUUUUCUUAAUAAUUUUUUUGUUAAAUAUAUAAUUUAUUUUAAAUAAAUUAUUUAUUUAUUUUAAUACCUUACUUAAUUGAAUUAAAUUUUAAUGUUAUCAUAUUAAAAUUAAUGAAUAUUAAUUUGUUAAGUUUAAAAUAUAGUUUUAAAAAAAGAAACAUAUUAAGAAUAUUUAUUAAAUUAAAUUUUUAUUUUUCAAAUAUAAUAAGAGUUAAUUAUAUUAAUUGAUUAAAUUAGAAAAAAAGAUAAAUAUAAAAUUACAAAAAAUUUGAAUAUUAACAAUUUUGACAUUAAAAAUUAAUUUUUAACAAUAUAUAUAAUAAAUAAUAGGUAAGAAACUAUUAAUAAUAUUAUUUAAAUUAUAAUAUAUUAAUAUUAAUAUUCAUGAUGAAUUUUUUGUAUUAUUUUAAUAUUAAAUAUUUUUAAAACCUAACUAAUUGCAAUAUAAUUAAUUCUAAAAUAAGUAGAUAUUUGCCUUUGUUGAUACAGAUCGAGAGCUAGAAUAAGGACAAGAAGACAAACCGAUUAAGAGGAUAAGUGUUUAGAGUAACUCUAGAGUGUCCCAGUCCAUAGUUUUUCAAGGUACUUAUAGGAAACGUCCCCUUGUCUACUGGUAUGAUAUGACUAAAUAAGCGUUCAAUUUCGUUAAAUGUGUAAUGAAUAACCAUAGACACAUUUAUAGGAUUCUAUUAAUAUGAAGUAGUCAAGCCUAAAUAGACUCCUUAUUAUCUUGAAAAUAUGUUCAAAGAUCCUACUCAAAAAGUCAAUAUAGAAUUAACCAUGCUAUGCUGACACUUUAUUUGUUUUAGUUGAAUAUAGAUGAGUCUUUGUCCUAUUUGGUUGCUUAGAAGACUUAAAAUGGUAUACUUGUGUAAACAUAAUGAUGAAUCAGUCAUCAUCAACCUGUUUAUUAUAUUACUUAAUUUGUCAAUAAAAUUGAAUUGUAGUUGGCUUAUGAUUGGAUGGGUUUUCUCUUUCUUUGGGACAUAAAUUUCAGUCACUGUGCAAUAUGGGAUAAGAUACCUGUUGAUUAUAUUACCUAAUUUGUAUGAAAUUGAAUUGUUGUUGGCUUAUGAUUGGAUGGCUUUUUCUCUUUGGGAGGUAAUUUUCAGUCAUCGUUAUAACAGGAUCUUGCUUCUUACACCUGGCACACACUUACAUGUUCUUUUUGCAUCAUGAAAAAGGUUAAAUUUUAGUUUUGAUCCUUUUAAUAUGCUUAAAUUUAUAACAUAUAUGUAAAAGAAGUGGAAAGGACCUUCCUUGACAUCACUUACAUGUUCUCUUUUUCUUUUCUUUUCAUAAAAAAGGUUCAAAUUCAGUUUUGGUCCUUUUAAUAUGUUUAAACUUAAAAUUUAGAUCCAAAGGACCUUCCUUCUAACACGUGGCACACACUUACAUGUUCUCUUUCUUUUUUAUUGCAUUUCAUAAAAAGGCUAAGUUUCAGUUUGGUCCUUUUAAUAUGUUUAAAUUUAAAAUUUAAUUCAUAUAUUUUAAUUUUUAAUAUAAUUUGAUCAUUAUAUUUUUAAUAUUAUUAAUUUAUACUUUUUUUUGCAUUUUUACAUUAUAAUAUAAUGGUCAAAAUUCAAUUUGGACAUCUAUAUUAUGCUGAAACUUAAUAUUUAAUAUUCUAUAUACUUUAAUUUUUAUUUAAUUUGAUUCUCCUACUUCUAUAAUGUCGUUAUUUAGUCUAAAUAGUUAAUUUUGUUAACAAUUUCAAUCAAAAUGGUAUCGUCAUUUUUUCUUAAGAACACUACAACAAAAAUAUUAAUUUAUCAUAAUGAGUUUGAAUGGGUACUUUAAAAAAAAUAUAUUGAUUGCUAUUUUCAAUAUUAUUUUCUUGUUACAAGAGUAAUAAGAGAACUUUCUUUCUUCUUCUUUUUUCGUUUCUAAAUGUCACACUAGUAAAUUUAGUAGAUGAAUUUUAACACAAUGCUGAUUAUCGCACUAAAUUUUUAAAUUCAAAAAAUAAAAAGACAAAAUCCUUAAAAAGGGGACUGAAUUCCAAAUGUGCGAUAUGUAUAAAGACUUAAAACUUAGUUUAAUCUUUAAAUUUUUACUUCAUAAUUUAAUAAAACAAUUCAUCAAUCAGACGCAAAGCGUUAAAACCAUCUAGUAGGAAAAAGAGAAGAACCAUGUUGGGUUUGAACAAUGGUGUUGUUGAGAUGGACCAUAUAAAAACAAAGAUCGCGGUUGUCAAUUCAUCAAUAGGGCAAGAUUUAUUUUUAGAUUUAUAAUGUCAACUUUGUCAAUUUCGUUCUUGCCUUAUUGCCCUCUUUAACACAAUAGCAUCUUCACUAUUGAAAUACAAUAAAGCAAAACCAUACAAUACAUCAUCAGAGCAUACUUCCAAUAAAUUAUACAAGCUCGAAAUGUCAUUUAUUCUUGCAAAAAAGGGAAAGCAUGAAUAAGUAUCGAGUACUAUGAUGACAUAAAGCCAAUUCACUUUACCUCCUUCAUGGCUACCUCCAAUAAUUGUAACAUCAACCAUAAUAUCCUUUGUGGUGCAUCUUUUAGUGAGAGGAGGUCCAUGUAAGAAAAGUUUUUAAAGCUUUGAAGUUGAGUGCUUGUCGAGAUUUGUCCUGUUGUAGAUCAAGUUGAAGAGAUUUUAGAAAUUUAAAUUAGAGAAAUUUGGACGGAUUUCAUCGUUGAUUAAUCGACAGAUCAAGAGAUUCCAUUAACUUCAUGUUGCCAAUGUUGUUUGGUAUAUUUCUUAUUAGGAGAUUCUUUGACAAAUUUAAUGAUAGUAGCCCAACUAGAGUUUCAAUUUCUUUGGAGAUCUCUCUUGUGACAUUAUUAGCUGAAAUGUCUAUGCUGGUAGCAAGUCUUGGUGUGGUACUCUAUUCAUCUUCUCAUCCUUUCAACACCAAUAGUGCACUCAAAUGUAUUUAUGUCCCAUUUUGAUAAUUCAAAUAUAGAAAUAAUUUCGUUUUAACAAGACACGAACCGAGCAACAACUUUCACAAAAAAAAAAAUUUUAAAUUAGUACCUAACUGAAAGUACAUAAAUUUUAAUUCAUAAAAUAUUAUAUAUUACAAUAGUUAGAGAUUGUAUAUGUAUUUUCUAUUGAUAUUAGGAUUUAAAUUUUAUGCUAUGCUUUUAUUUAUAUUUAUAUUUUAACUUUAUAUUUUAUAUUAGUAUAAUAUAGUAAAAAUUAUUUUAAUCAUAUUUCAACAAAAAUUAUCAAAUUAGAUUAUCAUAUCAUAAUUUAAUAAUCGCAUGAGAGGUCAAAAGUAGUGCAUAUAAAAGAACAAAGAAAAGAAAACCUAACCAACAUCACUAAAUAUAAACACGUCCUUACAUUUUCAUAAUUUCCUAUUGUUUUAAUCACUACAAUAUAUGUAUAAAGGUUUAUAUUAUGCUUUAGUUAAAUUACACCCAAAUUCACUUUAAAAUAUGGUUUUUCAUAUUUUGAUCAUUUUAAAUUUUUUUAAUUUAAUCACUCUAAUUAAGAUAAUUAUUUGAAUUAAUCACGACAUUAAAAAUUCUAUCAAUUUAAUAAAAAAUUGUUAAUCUGACAUAUUAAUCAAUUGAAAGAUUCAUAGGUCAAUUUUUUUUUUGACAAAGCUUACAUACCUCUGUAUGAUUAAUCAAAACAUUUUUUUUUCCUUUUAUCUUCUCUCCAUAACUCAAAAUGGAGAAAUCAAAAUAGGGCAUCUCAAAGCUACCUAUGUUUCACCAUUCUUUCAACAAUAAAUCUAUGAUAACGGUUAGAAUUAAGUGACCCGAAUCCUUAUUAAAAUAAAGUACAGUGGUAAAAUAAAAUAAAAGUAAAAUCCAUAUAGAACUAUACUUUUAUUUUAUUUUAGAAUAAGAUUUUUCAACUUUAUUACACUUCAUCUAUUGAUAUUGAUUAGAAUUAGGUGUUUAAAUCUUUCUACACUCUUUUUAUUAGAAUAUGGUUUUACAAGCCUAUAAAUAGACACCUCUUCUUGUAAUUAUUCGAAUUCGACAUAGCGAAUUAUCUUCUCCCCUGCCUGUUGUUUUUUCUCAAAAAGGAUUCCACGUAAAAUCUGUUUGUUCUUUAUUUUUAUUUUUACUCUUUUCUUUAUGAUGCAUUGUCAUUAUCAACGUUAUAUUUAUCACAGCAACUAUCAAGAAUAACCCACCAUACAUCCACAAAUAAUUAAGGAGGAAUGAACAUAUAUAAAAACCCCAAUCAAAAUCUACACGAAUCUGACGGUCAUCAAGGAUUGUCCCACUAAUGUAAUUAACAACAUCCUCUGCAUCUUCCCUAGAAUGAUUCCUGAUGGAAAAUAAAAAACCCAAUAACCAAUUAAGAGCUUUAAAAUAAAUAUUAACAUGAUUUAAAGGAGGAAAACAAGAGAGAGAGAGUUACAAGACAAAGCAAAAGCCACAAGGUGUUUUAGAGGUCUUGUUAAGGCCCAUGUUUAUUUUCUUGAUUUCACCGGAUGUAGAGAAAAGCUCAUAAACUUGUUCUUUAGUAGUGUAAAAAGACACGUUUCCGAUGUAGACAGUUGUCGAAGUGAGGAGUGCUUGCUCGAAUCCCUCUUGCGAACCAUUAAACCUUCCGUCUCGGUACGCUAAAAGCUUAGCUGAGUCCUAUGAUUUAACAAACCCCCCAAAAAAGAGAGAAAAAUUAUCAUUUAACUGAUGUACAUUGAAAGCAAUUAGGAAGCAAUAAGAAAAGAAAAUAUCUUGAACAGAGAAUCCAUUACCUUCUUCAAAAGCUCCCAAAAAUUCGAAUUGCCUGCAUAUAACGAAUUAUAAAGGUUGAAUUUCUUGCCCUUGCCCUAUCCAUGCCAUAGAUCCAUUCUUAUUUAUAUAUGUUCACUCUUCUUUAAUUAUUUGUGGAUGUGUGGUGGGUUAUCCUUGGUAGUUGCCAUAGAUCCAUUGUUGAGAAACUGGUGAAGGGCAUGUAGCUUUGAGAUGCCCUGUUUUGGUUUCUCCUUUUUCAGCUUCGGAGAGAAGAGAAAGGGGAAAAAAUUGUUUAGGAUUAAUUAUAGAAAGGUCCCUCAGCUUUUGUUAAAAGUCAAAGGAAAGUAUCACGUGUUAUCAUUCAAUUGGCUAAUAUGCCACAUCAACAAUUCGUUAGUAGAUCAAUAGAAUUUAAUGGUUGUGGCUAAUUCAAACAAUUAUCUUGAUUAGAGUGAUUAAAUUGAGAAAAAAAUUAGAGUGACCAAAUAGGACAAACCUUAUUUUAAAAUGAUCUCGUGUGUAAUUUACCCUUAUACUUUUAUGGGCGUCCAAAAUUACUAAUUUUUAUUUUUGAGAGAAAAGAAAUUCAUUAAUGAAAAAAUCACAAAACAGAAGCAAACACAAAGAGGAGAUGGACUACUAAACUCGAGCCAACAGGCUCACCCCAUACACCCAAACUUAUUGUCCGCAAUCCUCAUUCGUAUCAACAUAAGACAUAAUUUUAAAAUUCUUCAAAAAAGAUGCAAAGGAACCCUUUCCGUGUGGUUUGCAUGUAACAAAACCGCUCACGCAAGUGAGUAGGCUACCUUGUUGGCACACGACGGGUCCAAAACAAGGAUAGAUGCUAAAACUAAUCUUUCAGCACCAAACAAUCAAGUUGCAGCACACCUAACUCAGAUGCAUCAAUGAUACAUGCUUUUUUCCCAUCAAACUACAUACCCAUAGUAGCCCAAAACACAUAUAGUUUACCAUAGACAUUGUCCAGCUUUCGAUAGUAUGCAUGCCUCCAAGACCUGAUGAAAAACAAGGGAGCCACUACACCCCAAAAUCCCAUUACAAAGCCAAGAACUAUGCUGACAUAAAGCCAAUUCACUUUACUUCCUUCACUGCUACUUCCAUUAUUUGCAACAUCAGUUGGAAUGCCUUUUGUAGUGCAGUUUUUAGUGAGAGGAGGUCCGCAAAGAUGAUUGCCCACGUAAGACAAGUUUGCAAAGCUUUGAAGUUGAGUACUUGUUGGGAUUUGUCCUGUCAAAUUGUUGUACGACACAUUGAAGUGAUUCAAGAAAUUCAAUUUGGAGAAACUUGGAGGGAUUUCACCAUUUAGUCGAUUCAUGGCCAAAUCAAGAGAUUCCAAAAACUUCAUGUUGCCAAUGUUGUCUGGUAUAUUUCCUGUUAGGUGAUUCCCUGAGAAAUUUAAAGACAAUAGUCCAACGAGACUACCAAUUUCUUUGGGGAUCUCUCCUGUGAAACUGUUAACAGAAAGGUCCAAGUUGGUAACAAGUCCUAGUGUGUGACCAUAUUCAUCCUCUCGCCCUUUCAACACCAAUAAGGCACUCAAAUAAAAUGGGUAAUUAAUGAAAUACAGCGUAGAAAGUUCAUUUUUGGUUUUGUUUGUUGUGGCCAUUGCACUUAAAUUAUUGAAGCAUUUUGGAAUAACUCCUGAAAUGUUGUUGUGGGCAAGGUCCAAAUUUUGAAGAAAUUGAAGAUCACAAAUUUUGUGAGGAAAAUGACCAUCAAAAUUAUUUGACCGAAGGCUUAGAACCACAAGGUUUGAGAGCUUAUCACCAAUCCAUGCUGGUACACUUCCAUUGAAAUGAUUUUCACUAAGAUCAAGCAUAAUCAAAUUUGUAGAAUUUUGCAUUGUGGAUGGCAAUUCUCCAAACAUUCUAUUGUUUCGAAGGUUUAACGUUGAAGGAUUUGUUUGUCCCAAAGUAAGUGGGAUUUUUCCUGUUAAAUUGUUAUUUCCUAAAUUUAAAUAAGCUAAAACAUCCCAAUGAUUCCAACAAUCUGGAAUUUCUCCAUUGAGUAAAUUUGUAUCAAUGUAAAGAGUUAUCAUCCCCGUUAAUGAUGGAUUACAAAUUAAUUGAUGAAGGGAUCCUGAAAAUGAAUUAUUUGACAAAAAUAAAAAUCUCAAACUUGAGAGUACUCUUGGCAAUGGACCUGUAAAGCUGUUUGAACUCAAGUCAACAAUGUCUCCCACAUUCAAAUACGAAAUCUCUCCUGUAAGCUGAUUUGAGGAAAGAUUUAAAUAUUCAAAUAGAGUGGGAAGGUUCAAAAACCAAGUGGGCAUGACAUCUGAAAUUCCUACAUGGGAGAUAUCCAAAGACGAUAAAUUCUUUUGGAAUUUUAACCAGUGGGGAAACUUUGGGCCAAGGUUCCAGUGGCCCAAUUCAAUAAUUCGACAUUGAAAUGGGGGAAUCUAGCUUGAGUUUGGUUCAAAUUUAAGCCUAUUGUGUGAUGCUUUCAAAGUUGUCAAUCUGGUGAGAUGACAGAAAUGGGGUUCUAAUACAACUCCCUCCAAUAGAUUAUACCCAAAAUCCAGAGUUUCCAAACUUUCCAGUUGUCCAAAACAUAGAGGAAAAGUACCAUUUAAUUGAUUUUCUGAUACAUCGAAGAACUUCAAAGAUGAUAACUCCCCUAUAGACAAUGGAAUUUGACCAUUUAAUUGAUUUUUUGAAACAUCAAAGAAUUUCAAAGACCAUAACUCCCCUAUGGAUGAUGGAAUGGGACCAGAAAUUUUGUUUUGAGCAAGGGACAAGUAAGAUAGAUUUUUAAAUUGUCCAAGUUGAUCAGUUAAAUGGCCAGAAAGUUGGUUAUCUGCCAUAUCCAAUGACUCUAAGGAACCCGAACGACAUCUAGACAAACUCUGUAGGAUUUCUGAUAUUCCACCUUCAAUUUUAUUGUAUGACAAAUCCAUCUCCUUCAAUUUGCACAGAUAUUCCAGAGAGGUUGGUAAUCUUCCUUCCAACAUAUCAUUAUGAGAAAGAUCAAGAUGAGUAACAGAGCUGAAGUUUCCAAUGGCACUCGAGAUUGUUCCUUGUAACUGGUUAUCACCAAGACUAAGGAACUGAAGAUGGUAUAAACUGUACAUGGAGUUGGGUAUGGAUGAAUUGAGUGAGUUCGAACGAAGAUCAAGAACUUUAAGAAACGAGAUGUUCCCAAAGUAAUCUGGAAUUGGGCCUUCCAAAGAAUUCUCACUAAUAUCAAUGGACAUAAGACCAUGAAGACUAAAUAUCGACUUAGGUACUGAAGAAAAGCGGUUCAAAGAAAGAUCAAGAAUAACCAGUGAUUUUGUAGAAUUAACACUAAUCGGAGAUGGAUCAUCUUCCAAACCACAAUUUGACAAGUGCAACUCUAACAAAGAAGGAUGUUUGAAUGUUACCUGUAGCCAAUCAGUUGCUUUAGAAAGAUCCGCACCACUCAAAUCAAGGUACUGCAAGGAAGAAAGUCCAGAAACCCAUUGAAGACUUUUAACUUUGAUAUCCCACCGGUACAUAGUAUCACCACGAAGAUCAAGAUACUGCAACUUUGAAAGAUUCCCCAGGUUUUGAGGAAUUGCUCCCUGGAAUCCUGCUUGAGAGAGGUUAAGAUGUGUUAAACUCCCCAGCACACCCAAAAAUUUCGGGAUAUGUAUGUUGCUAAAAUUGUUAUUGCUCAAGUCCAGGGAACUUAGAUGCUUCAACUCCAGUAGCGAAGGAUUGAUAUUCCCUCCUAGCAUGGAAUUGUAGUAAGCUUCCCAUUCAACAUAUGGUGCGAAGAAAUCAGGCUCUGAAAGAGGAGAAGUCAAGUGCAGUUGGUUGACGUGGCCUGUUGAGUUUUGGCAGAUGACACCAAUCCAUUCACAGCAAUCCCCACCUUCAACCCUGAAGAUAGCCUGUUUGAAGGAUCAAUAAGAUCAAUCUUGAAUUUCAAGAGAGCUUCUCUCUCACUUUCAAUGCAAAGAACGUUGGAAUUGGCAUCACAAAUGCUAAAACAGAUAGCAGCAAUGAGAAGAAGAAAUUGGAAUAAGGAAAUUGGAAGAGGAGUUGUCAUGGUUGCAAUUGCAUGCUACCAACCAUUGCUCACAACUCCAAACUAAUAGAGUAAGCUUAGCUAAAACACAAAAAUAUUGUGCACAUACAUCAAGCGCAAUGAAGUUUCUUCCAAAACCCCAAAUUUCCACAAAAUGCAUUUAAUUUCCACAAAAUUUACUAUCAAGGGAAAAUUUCUAAUUAAUUGCAUUUAUUUUUCAACAAAAUGUAAUAUGAACUUCUAUUACUAAAAUAAAGAAAUGUUAUAAAACCCAGUCAAACAAAAUGGAUGCCGUGGUCCCUUAAUCAUUUCUUCAUGCAUAAAACAAUAUUAAAUAAAUUAUAAUAAAAAAAUCUAAAAUUAUAAUAAUUAACUAAACUAUAUCACAUCUAAUCUCUUAAUGGACCUACAAAACGAGGAGGAUUAGUCAUUGGGUUCGCUCAAAUAGAUAUCGCAUAUAAGAAUUUUUUAUCUAUUUUUAUUUUUUAAAUUUAAAGAAUUUACAUUUUUUAAAUUUUUUAAAUUUCUAAAUUUUUAUAUAUUUUUUGAAUUUUUAAAUAUUUUAGAUUUUUUAAUUUUAAAAUGUGACAUAUAAGACAAAAUAAUAUCGUGUAUACAUUCAAUACUUGUGAACUAUCACACGAGGUGUCAUUUCAGUGCUUGGCAUCCAACAUUAGCUACUUAACGGCUCCAAUUUUGUAAAGGGUAAACUACACCCAAGAUCACUAAACUAUUAGUAUGUUUAUGUUUUGAUCACGCAAUUUUAAAAUAUUUCAAAAUAAUCACUAAACUAUUUAAAAGUUUUCAUUUAAAGCCAAAAAAAAAAUCAAUUCACCAUUCAAAUAUAACCCUUAGUUUCUAUUAAAAUGAAUGAAAUUACAUAUCCAUACUAUUAUAGUAGCAAUUAGAGCUAAUCCUGGGUCGGGUCUCAAUAAAAUUUUAGGUUCGUUUUUUGGCUCGUUUUUUGGCCCGAGCUCGACUCAGCCCAAAAAAUGGGCCUAAAAUUUGUUCAAUCACGUCCCGAAUUAUAGAAGCCAAGAUCAAGCCCGGCCUGGCCCAUAUUAAUUUUUUUAGAUGAUUUAUUGUAUACAAUAAAUUUAAAAAAUAUAUAAUAUAUCAAAUACACUUCAAAACAUUAAAACAACAAACAAAUUAAAAAUACAUUAAAAAUUCUGUAACGCCCCAAAUUUUGAACAUAUGUUUGAUAAAUUCUAUCAAUAAAUAAGUCUCUGUAUCUGUAGUUAAGUGUUCUGUUUAUGUGUUAGAGAUCCGGGUUUGAGUAUUUCUUCUUAAAUUUUUACGGUCUAUUUUGGUUCAACCCCUAUUCUUAAACUCCCGACUUAAGUUUAUUUUUACGUUAAUCUGUAUCAAUAAUGAGCCUGCUAGUUCAAUGGUUGAUAAAUGCCAAAAGUAACAUGUUUUAGCCUCAUUCUUAAUGCAUUUUUGGAUGAUUAUUCGAUUUAAAAAUGUGAAUUUUAUGCUCCUAAUCCUUUAAAUUCAUGUUUAUAUACUUAAGAGAGCAUUUGGGAGCAAAAUGAGCAAAACUCGAAAAAUCGGAGCAAGUUUUAGGAGCCACAUGGCCAUGUCUCAGACCAUGUGGAAAUCACGAAUUACACUUCAAAAAGUAAAAAAUAUAUAAUUUUUAGGCUUUUUGGGCAUUCUAAAACCUAUAUAUGACAAAGAUAAGAAGAUGAGAGAAAACUGUCAUUAAAUGGUUUUUGGUGUUGGUUUUUUUUUCCUGAAAAUUGUUUAGUUUGUUGGGUCAUUGGGCCUUUAAUUAGACUUCAAACUUUUCAUUAUUGACAUGACAUUAAUUUAUAUUUAUGUCACAUUUACAAAUAAUUUUAAAACUAUAAAAAAAUAUUGAAUAAAUUAUAAACUUGACAAGGAAGUUGGACAAAGUCUAUGGAGUAACUUCAAGUCCCAUGAUAUGACCUGCCAAUUAAGAGUUUUUAGGUCUUUAAAAUGAAAGGAAAGGAAAAUGAAAAUUUUAGGAAAACAUAAAAUUUGAUUAAGAUUUUUAUUUUUACAUUUAUAUUUUGGUUAAAUCAAAUCAAAUUUUAAUGUAUAAUUGAUUAAAAUUAUGCAAAUUAUUCAACAAGGUCAUGACCGAAGUCGGUGGGGAUCUAAAUAAACAUAUCAAAGAACUACCUAUAUCAGCACAUUUAGUCAUGUGAUUUGCAACACCAAGAGUUCUUGAGAUAUGUAGGAUACGAAUCUCCCAUUUUCGACGCAAUAUUUGAUGUAGCAGCCACAGUUCCAGUAAAUUAUUACUAGCUCCUCCAGCAGACAAAAGUAAUUCAACCAACAAAGCAUUAUCACACUCAACUUCAACUUUCCGAAAUCCUUUAUCCCAAGCUAAGAAUAAUACUUCCAACAUUGCUCUUGUUUCAACUUUAAAAACUGACUCAUAUUUAAUUUUUUUUAAAUGUUUAUAUUGUGAAUUGUGGGAAAUAAUUUUAUAUUUGUGUCCUCAGAUUACAUUUAAUUUUCAUAUAUGAUUAUGAAGGAUAUUGAAGUUUUAGUUACAUUCUAAUACGAAUUUCAAUCAUCCAAUUGAAUUUGUCACUUUCUUUCUCUACCUAACGUGGAAUUUAGCAAGCUUUAAAAUUCCUCAAGUAGCGUUGACGAAGUCAAGUCAACAAAGUCUAUGGAGUAAGUCUCACUCCCUCGGCACGCUCUGUUUACUCGCUGAUAUUUUCUUCAUUAUAUAAAGUAAGCAAUCAAGAAAAACCAUCACUAAUAUCUUUUCAAUUUAAUAGCUUUCAUACCAUUUUCAUUAAUAAAUAUUAUCCUUUAGUCCGUUGAUUGUGCUUCACUUAAUUUUUCAAUGAAUAUAAUAGUUUUUGGCUUAUGAUUGAUGGGGUUUUUUAAAGGUAAUUUUCUGUCAUUGUGCAAUGCAUGUGGGAUCAGAUAUAGGAAGGAAAAGGAAAAAGAAAAAGAAUGGCAAUGUUGGGCAUGAACAAAGGAUCAAAGAAGAUGGAGAGAUCAAAUUCAUCACAAAGCUACAAUCAACUCUAAAAAUAAAUUAUUAUUAAAUAUGUUAUUGAGGUUUAUUAUUAAGUAAAAGAAGCGAUGAUUAAAGUCAGGGCGAAGUCAGAACAAUUUUUUAGAGGGGACUGAAUGAAAUUUUAAUUUUUUUAUAGUCUAUAUCGUUAUAAUUUUUAAAGGAUUAAAUCGAAUUUUUAUAAUUUUAGGAGAGGCCAAAGUGUAAUUUUACCUUUACUAAUUUAAAAUUUUAAAAAAAACUUUAAGGGCUUAAAUAACAAUUUUAUAUUUUAGAGGGGGCCGGGAGCCUUCCCAGCCCCCUAGAUUCACCACUGAUUAAAAUUCUUAUCAGAUAUUUAUUUAGUACGGAUUCGAACCAUAUUACCCCUAUCCUUUACCUUUAAUAUUAUAAUAAUAAUAAAAACCCUAUUGCAGCGUCAAAUUUUCUUCCAUGUCUUAAAGAAUUAGUUAAUCAAAUCUUACUCAUAUUCGUAUAGAUUUUGUUAAUCAAACUUAAUUAUUGUUUUAAGUGGUUAAAUAUAAACACAUUAUAAUUGUCGAAACUAUAAAAAUGCUAACAGGUUACGAUAUAUUUUAAUUUUUUUUUAUGUUUAUUAAAUGCACCUUAUUGCACUCUUUAACCCAACAACAUUUUCAUUAUUGACAUACAAUUAAACACAAUCACACAUCAUGAAAGCUCUAAGUUCAAAAAAUUGAACAAGCUUGAAUGCUAUUUAUUUUUGCAAAAGGGAAAACAUGAGUACUAAAUCUAAACUCGAAGUCAAGAUCGAUUGAUUCAUGUAAUCCCUUCUAAAAUAUAGCAUUUAAUAGAUUUGAGUUCAAAACCCUAUAUAUUAAUUAAUUACAUACACUAACUUUAUUUAUACAUAUUUUGUUUUGGGUAAACUACACCCAUGGUCACUUUUGUUUAUCUUAGGUUACGUUUUAGUCAUUUACGUUAUCAUGUUGUAACAUUUUAGCCACUGAGCCAUUAAUCGUCGUUAAUGGUGUAACGGUAAGCUGACGUGGCACGUUAAAUCAUCAUUUCAAACAAAAUUUUAGGUUAAAUUAUACAAUUGAUCCCCAUAUUUUUUCAGUUUUAAGUAAUUUAAUUUUUUUAUUUUAUGUUCUUUAAACUUUUCUCUUUUGUUUCUCCCUCUGUUUUCAUAUCUUUCCUAUCUCUUUUAACAUAUUAGGAAGUCAAAUUGGCAGUGAAAAAAGAAGUAGGAAGUCGACUAUCAUCAUUUGCCUAUAACCAAAACCCUAUAACCAAAACCAUGCUUCUUUCUUCACUACCAAUUCGACUUCCUGGUAUGUUAAAAGAAAUAAAUAAGGUAGGAAAACAGAGGGAGAAGCAGAAGAGAAUGAAAAAUAAAGAAAAUAAAGAAUGAAAGUUAAAAGAACAUAAAAGAAUUAAAUUGCUCAAAACGAAAAAUUAUGGGGACCAAUUGUAUAAUUAAACCUAAAGUUUUUGUUUGAAUGAUAAUUUAACAUGCCACGUCAGCUUACCAUUACACCAUUAACGACAAUUAACGGCUCAGUGACUAAAAUGUUACAACACAAUAACGUAAGUGACUAAAACGUAACAUUUCAAACAUAAGUGACUGAAAUGUAACCUAAGGUAAACAAAAGUGACCAUGGGUGUAGUUUACCCUUUUGUUUUUCAUCAAACUAUAUACCCAUAAUAGACCAAAACACAUACAGCUGUCGACCAACAUGAUCCAACUUUCGAUAGUAUGCAUGCCUCCAAGACCUGCUGAAAAACAAGGGAGCCACUACACCCCAAAAUCCCAUUACAAAGCCAAUAACUAUGCUGACAUAAAGCCAAUUCACUUUACUUCCUUCACUGUUAAUUCCAUUAUUUGCUGCAUCAGUUGAAAUACCUUUUGAGGUGCAAUUUUUAGUGAGAGGAGGUCCGCAAAGAUGAUUUCCCACGUAAGACAAGCUUUCAAAGCUUUGAAGCUGAGUGCUUGUUGGGAUUUGUCCUAUCAAGUUGUUGUAGGACACAUUGAAGUGAUUCAAGAAAUUCAAUUUGGAAAAAUUUGGAGGGAUUUCACCAUUCAAUUGAUUCCUCGACAAAUCAAGAGAUUCCACCAACUGCAUGUUGCCAAUUUCGUCCGGUAUAUUUCCUAUUAGGAGAUUCCCUGAUAGAUUUAAUGACCGUAGCGCAACGAGACUUCCAAAUUCUUUUGGGAUCUCUCCAAUUAGUCUAUUAGUUGAAAGGCAGAUGCUCGUAACAAGCCCUAGUGUGGCACCGUAUUCAUCCUCUCGUCCUUUCAGCACCAAUAAUGCACUCAAAAAAAGGAAAUUAGUACUGAUACUCGACCACUGAAACAUAUAGCACUGCUGGUUGCUCUUGUUAGCCAUUGCACUAAAAUUACUAAAACAUUUUGGAAUAGCUCCUGAAAUGCCGUUAUGGCCAAGGUCCAAGAUCCGAAGAGAUUGAAGUUGACAAAUUUUUUGAGGAAUGUGGCCAUCAAAGUUAUUGGAUCGAAGGCUUAGAAUCUCAAGUUUCGAGAGUUUGACCCCAAUCCAUGCUGGUACACUUCCAUUGAAAUGAUUGUCACUAAGAUCAAGCAUAAUCAACCUCGUAGAAUGUUGUAACGUAGAUGGUAUUUCUCCAGACAUGCCAUUGCGACGAAGGUUUAGCACUGAAAGAUUUAAAUGUCCCAAAGAAGGUGGGAUUUUUCCGGUCAAAGUGUUGUUUUCCAAAUUCAAGUAACCCAAACCUCGCCAAUGAUCCCAGCAAUCUGGGAUUUCUCCGGAGAGAAGGUUUGUUUCAAAGGCAAGAAUUCUCAUUGGUCCCUUUCUUAAUGAAUUACAAACGAAUUCAAAAAGCGGGCCUGAAAAUGAAUUAGUUGACAAAAUUAAAAUUUGUAAAGUUGGGAAUACUCUUGGCAAUGGGCCUGUGAAUUGGUUUGAACUCAAGUCAACAAUUUCUGUCACGUUCAAAUAUGAAAUCCCUCCAGUAAGUUGAUUACAGGAAAGAUUUACAUAUUCAAAUUGAGUAGACGAGUUCAAAAGCCAAGUGGGCAAGAUAUCCGAAAUUCCUGCAUCCGAGAUAUCUAAAACAGAUAAAUUCUUUUGGAACUUUAACCAUCGAGGAAACUUGGGGCCAAGAUUCCAUUGCCCCAAUUUGAUAAUUCGACAUUGAAACGGGGGAAUCCAGCUUGAGUUUGGGUCAAAUCUCAGCUUGUUCUGUGAUGCCGCUAGAGUUGUCAAUCUCGUGAGAUUAGAAAAAUGGGAUUCUGAUACAACUCCUUCCAAUUGGUUACACCCCAAAUCCAGAUACUGCAACUUUGAAAGAUUCCCCAGGUUAUGAGGAAUUGUGCCCCGGAAUCGUGCUUGAGAGAGAUUAAGAUAUGUUAAACUCUCCAGCAAACCGAAAAACUUCGGAAUCUGUAUGCCGCUAAAAUUGUUAUUGCUCAAGUCCAGGGAACUGAGAUGCUUCAACUCCAGGAGUGAAGGAUUUAUUUUGCCUCCUAGCGGGGAAUUGUUCUUUGAUCGAUGGUAAGCUUCCCAUUCACCAACUGGUGCAUCAAAAUGGGGCACUGAAAGAGGAGCAGCCAAGUGCAGUUGGUUGAUAUGGCCUGUUGAGUUAUGGCACACGACACCGAGCCAUUUACAGCAAUCCCCACCUUCAACCCAAGAAGACAACCUGUUUGAAGGGUCAACGAGAUCAUUCUUGAACUUCAGAAGGGCUUUUCUCUCACUUUCUAUGCAAAGCACAUUGGAAUUGGCAUCACAAAAGCUAAAACAGAUAGCUAGAAUGACAAUAAGAAACGGGAAUAAGGUAAUUGUAAUACUUUUCAUGGUUGCGAUGGUACCAGCCAUUGGUUGCAACUCCAAAUAUAUAGAGUAAGCUUAGUAAACAAAAGUAUUGUGCACAUACAUCAAGCAGAAAGAAGUUUCUUCCAAAUUUCCACAAAAUGUAUUUAAUUAAUAAUAGCCUAUCAGAAAUUUCCAGUCAAAUAUAAACACCAUUUUAUCUAAAAUGAAAUUACAUAUCCAUAGUGCUGGACUGAGAUAGAGUAAGCUAAAACAAAAACAUUGUCCACAUCAUGGGCAAGGAACUUUUUUCCGGUACCCCAAAAUUCCAACAUGAAUUUAUUGCCAGAAAGAAAAACUAUGACUUUGUCAAUUUUAAUAAAUUUGGACAAAAAAAAAACAAAAUAGAAUUAUUAAUUGUUCAUGCGAGAUGCAAUGUUGAUAUGAUGUCACAUUAUUAAUUUGUUCCUAAUUAUAAAUAAUUUAAUAGAUUUAAUCAUCUACUUUUACAAAUUCUAUCAAUUUGAUCCUUAAACACAUAUAAUAAAAUACAAAUAUAAUUAAAUAAUUAUUCUAUAUUAUGAAAAAGUAUAAAUGUAAUAUUAUUUACAUUAUUUUGUAUCAACACAUACUCUGUAUCUAAUACUUACACCUGAGUCCAAAUAACAUGAUCCUAAACAAUAUUAUUAGAUUAUUGACUUGUGCUUUCAGGAAUCAAAGAACGAAAAAGAAAAAAGCAAAAACAACAUACAGUGACCGAAGAACACAAAUAACCACACAAUGAAUGACGACAGACUCUACUAAAUUUAACUUGCAAAAAUAAGAACUUUAAUUAAAUUCUUUGCUUUUAAGAGAUUAGUGUGUCGUAAACUAGUUAUGAAGCUUGCUAAGGAAUGUAAUUUUGAGGAGGUUAAGGUUAACAGUUCAGUAAGUCUAGAUGCUGAGAAAGCUAAAGUCACCAUGUUAACAAAAAAGUUUGCAGAAGCUUCAAUCAUUCUUAGUUUCGUGCCUAUAAAUUUCGUAUUUAAUAAGGUGCCUUAAAAAUUUUGCAUUGAUUAUAUAUAAUAAUAUUAUAAUUUUCCUUAAAAUAUAUACAAAUAAUAUUAUAUAUUUUAUUUUUCCAUAAUUAUAUAAAAAUUAUUUAAUUAUAUUUAUAUGUAUUUAAGGAUCAAAUUGAUAAAAUAUGUAAAUAUAAAAAACUAAAUAUAUCAUUAUCCAAUUAAAAAAGACUAUAUCUUCACUUUGUUGACCAAACAUAAAUUUUUCUUCACUACCCCAAAUUUCCAGCUUAAAUUUUCCGCAGAAAAGCUAUAGAUUUGUCAAACUUAAUAGAGAAAUUGUUCACGCGAAUAAUUCAUAUGUAUUUCAUGAUAUUUUAAAAUUAUUUUAUUUUAUAUCGAAAUGAUAUCAUAAUAUUAUUUUAUUUUAUAUUUCACAUAUUUAACGAAAUAAAAUAAAAUUAUAAUCAAUUGAAUGUUUCUUUUUGGGAAAUUCUAAUUAAUUGCUUUAAAAUUUUGACAUGUCGAUAUUUAUUAUAUAUACUAUAGUAAUAUGAGAUUAUAAUAAAAAGAAAUAAAUAAUUAUGCUCACGUUACAUUUUUUAUUUGAAAGACAUAUUUACAAUUUGAGAAAUUUACUCUUUUAUUCCUUGUCUUUUAAUUUUUUAAGUCAGUCCAUACAUUUUUAAAAAAAAUUUUCUUUAUAAUUUUUUAUUUGUUCAAUAUAUAAUUGAUUUUAAAUAAAUUAUUUAUUUAUUUUAAUAUACCUUACUUAUUGAAUUAAAUUUAAUUUUAUCAUAUUAAAAUUAAUGAAUAUUAAUUUGUUAAUUUUAAAAUAUCAUUUUAAAAAAAGAAACAUAUUAAGAAUAUUUAUCAAAUUAAAUUUUUAUUUUUCAAAUAUAAUAAGAGUUAAUCACAUUAAUUGAUUAAAUUAGAAAAAAAGAGAUAAAUAUAAAAUUACAAAUAUUGAAUAGGACAUUAAAGUAAAUUAAUUUUUAAGAAUAUAUAUAAUAAAUAAUAGGUAAGAAAUUAUUAAUAAUAUUAUUUAAAUUAUAAUAUAUUAAUAUUAAUAUUUAAACUAUGAUGAUUUUUUGUAUUAAUUUAAUAUUACAUAUUUUUAAAAUUUAAAUAAAUUAUAAUAUAACUAAUUCUAAAAUAAGUAGAUAUUUGCCUUUGUUGAUAAAGAGUACAACAAGAGAAGAAAAUAAGGCAAAACUAGGAGCAAUGAAGGCUAGUUCACCUGUAAAGAUCGAGAGGUAGAAUAAGGACAAGAAGACAGACCGAUUAAGAGGAUAAAUGCUUAAAGUAACUCCAGGGUGCCUCAGUCUAUAGUUUUUUAAGGUACUUAUAGAAAAUAUCCCCUUGUCUGCUGGUAUGAUAUGACUAAAUAAGCGUUCAAUUUCGUUAAAUGUGUAAUGGAUAACCAUAGGCACAUUUAUAAGAUUCUAUUAAUAUGAAGUAGUCAAGUUUAAAUAAACUGUUUAUUUUCUUGAAAAUAUGUUCAAAUUAGGAUAGUGUUUUCUUUUAAGCUUGGAUGACCAAUUCAGAAUUAACCAUGCUAUGCCCACACUUUGUUUUAGUUGAAUAUUGAUGAGUCUUUGUCCUAUAUGGUUGCUUAGAAGACUUAAAAUGGUAUAUUUGUGUAAAGAUAACGAUGAAUCAGUCAUCAUCAACCUGUUUGUUAUAUUGCUUAAUUUGUCAAUAAAAUUGAAUUGUAGCUGGGUUAUGAUUGGAUGGGUUUUCUCUUUCUUUGGGACAUAAAUUUCAGUCACUGUGCAUUAUGGGAUAAGAUACCUGUUGAUUAUAUUGCCUAAAUUGUACGAAAUUGAAUUGUUGUUGGCUUAUGAUUGGAUGGGUUUUUCUCAUUGGGAGGUAAUUUUCAGUCGCUGUUAUAACAGAAUUUUGCUUCUUACACCUGGCACACACUUACAUGCUCUUUUUGCAUUUCAUGAAAAAGUUAAAUUAUCUAAUUAAAUUGAUAAAAUAUGUAAAUAUAAAACAUUAAAUGUGUCAUUAUCCAAUUAAAAAAAAGACUAUAUCUUCACUACCCCAAAUUUCCAGCUUAAAUUUUCCGCAGAAAAGCUAUAGCUUUGUCAAAACUUAAUAGAGAAAUUGUUCAGGCGAAUAAUUUAUAUGUAUUUCAUGAUAUUCUGAAAUUAUUUUAUUUUAUAUUGAAAUAGUAUCAUAAUAUUAUUUUAUCUUAUAUUUCACGUAUUUAACGAAAUAAAAUAAAAUUAUAGUCAAUUGAAUGGGGAAGUUCUAAUUAAUUGAUUUAAAAUUUUAACAUGUCGAUAUUUAAUAUAUGUACUAUAAUAAUAUGAGAUUACAAUAAAGAUAAAUAAAUAAUUAUGCUCUCGUUACAGUUUUUUUGACACACAACAUUUACGAUUUGAGAAAUUUACUCUUUUCUUCUUCGCCUUUUAAUUUUGUAAGUCAUUCCAUACAUUUUUUUAUUUUUUUCUUUAUAAUUUUUUAUUUGUUAAAUAUAUAAUUGAUUUUAAUAAAUUAUUUAUUUUAAUACCUUACUUAAUUGAAUUAAAUUUUAAUGUUAUCAUAUUAAAAUUAAUGAAUAUUAAUUUGUUAAGUUUAAAAUAUUAUUUUAAAAAAUAAACAUAUUAAGAAUAUUUAUUAAAUUAAAUUUUAUUUUUCAAAUAUAAUAAGAGUUAAUUAUAUUAAUUGAUUAAAUUAGAAAAAAAGAUAAAUAUAAAAUAACAAAUAUUGAAUAUUAACAAUUUUGACAUUAAAGUAAAUUAAUUUUUAACAAUAUAUAUAAUAAAUAAUAGGUAAGAAAUUAUUAAUAAUAUUAUUUAAAUUAUAAUAUAUUAAUAUUAAUAUUCAAACUAUGAUGAAUUUUUGUAUUAUUUUAAUAUUAAAUAUUUUUAAAACCUAAAUAAUUGCAAUAUAAUUAAUUCUAAAAUAAGUAGAUAUUUGCCUUUGUUGAUUUAGAUCGAGAGCUAUGUUAAUAAGUGAUGUAUUUGCACUUUUGAUAAUGUUAGUGGCUGAUUUGUUAUUUUUCGAAAGUUGUGUGACUGAAUUGAAACUUGAGUGACUGUUUUGUCAACUACCCCCAAGUUGAGUAACUGCUGAUGUAAUUUACCCAUAAAUUUAUAAUUACUUAUGGUUUUAUAUUCAAAUUUAAUCUUUUCGUUAAUUUUAAUUUACAAAGGUGAAAAUUAGAAUAUUUUCUCAGUUCUGCCCUCUAUUAUUAUGGAUUCUUCUUUUAUAAGCAUCCUUUUUCAUAGCUCCAUGCAUUUAGGAACAUAGGAUCAUUCCUGCAAAUAAAAGAUGGUAGGUGACUAUUCUUUUAAUAAAAACAUUUUUUCUUAAAGCAUUGAUAGAUAGAAUUAUCUGUAUUCAAUCUCUUUGGUGGUGUACGAAAAGGAUAUGAUUGUCUUGGGUAAGUCAAGGUUUUUGUAAUUUGUACGAAUGCGUGGAUCGACAAGGAAUCUCUCUUUCUAUAUUUGUAUUCCUCCCAUUUUCUUAGGCAUGCCAGCUCUGUUUUGUUCUACUCCUAUGAUGUUAACACUUGGAUUUAAAGAUUUAGUUUUUUACUACUUUUAACUGAUAUUAAAACUGAAAAAAAAUUCAGGCUUCAAUUUUGCUUUUGUUCAUUGAUGAGGUUUUUAGAGGCUAUGGGUAUAUUAAGCAAAGAAAAAAAAUGGUGUUAAUAAAAAAAAUAAAAAUUAUAAAAUAAUUAAGAAAUUAAAUAAAAACAGGAAAAAAUUAGUGAAGUUGUCGUAAAGGUAGAAUGGGAAGGCGGUGUUGGUGAAUGUGGUAUGAUGAGUCGCAGUUGGUUGGAUGGUGUUUUUCAUGCGUUGAGCCAUUAUAUUGGGUUGGUUUUCACACUUUCUUCUAUUUUAUCAUGAAUUUUUAAAGAAUGGCCACCUUUUUCGACCAUUAAUUUCACACUAGAAAAGUCAUUUGAAGGCUGCAAUGCCAGCACCAUUAUUCACGUUUGGGCGAAACAUUGAAUUUUUUUCAUCCCUCCAUUGCUUCCACCCUCUAUCCUUUUCUACUUCUUGUAUAUUUGAAAUCAAAUUCUUAAUUUUAAUAAUAUAUAAAUCAUAAAUAAAUAUUUAAAUUUCAAAUUCUUCCACCCUCCAUUCUUAUAAUAAUGUUUUGCACAUCACUCUUGAGGUUCGAAUUUACACUACACCAAAAAUGAUAAACAUGACAAAAACACCUGUGUACAAGCCUAAUUUCUCCCGGGCCCAAUACAUGCAAACAAAUAAAUAUACCAACAGUCCAUGACCCAUUACAUAUCAAGCCCAAUUAAACCCAAAUCCCAAAAGCCCAUACCAACAAAACAAAAACAGCAACCUAAUUCAACCUAAUAACCUAGCCCAAAACAGCCCAACAGACCCAAGCCCAAGUGCCAAAAGUCAGACUAGGGUUUCAGAGACUGAAACCCUAGCGCCGCAUGCUCUGACCCUUGGCCUAGCCCGGUGCCGCCUCCAUCAGCGGCAGCGCAAGUGGCGCACCCCACUUGCACCUGCCCUCUGUCACCGCAGCACCUACUCCACUUGCAAGAGAAACAAGAACACGCUUACAUGUUCUUUUUGCAUUUCAUGAAAAAGGUUAAAUUUUAGUUUUGAUCCUUUUAAUAUGUUUAAACUUAUAACAUAUAUAUAACAAGAAGUGAAAAGGACCUUUCUUGUGACACGUGGCACCACUUACAUGUUCCCUUUUUCUUUUCUUUUCAUAAAAAAAGGUUAAAAUUCAGUUUUGGUCCUUUUAAUAUGUUUAAACUUAAAACUUAGGUCCAAAGGACCUUCCUUCUAACACGUGGCACACACUUAUGUCACGGGGCCAGACCUUUCGUCUCGUAAUUCGUGCGGCCUUAGGUGAUCCGUUCGUCCAAACUCACCCAAGAUAGCCUUAACCCGUGUAAGGAUUUUUUUAGAACUCCUCCAAGGCACCAAAUUGAAGAGCGGAAGUGAUUUAUGCCAAAGGAAGAACAAUAAAGAACAACAGAAAGAACGCUCGCAAAGUGUUUGAGUAAAUGCUCUCUAUUCUCUUAUUCACAAAAAAUAAUGAAACAAUGAAUGGAGUGAGUACAACUGAGGGGGAGACUCUCUAUUUAUAGUUGAGCUCCCUCAAAACCAACGGUCAAGAUACAUUUACAUCGACGGAUGAGAUUAACCAUAUCCCUUAAUUUUAGGGAUUUACAAGAUAAGCCUUAUCUAAUCUAAUCUUCUAAGAUUAGUUACCAUAUUAGCCUAAGUUGCCAUCUCUUCAUUAUCGGGCCAACCAGGCUUCAAUCUGACAGGCUUGUCCAAUAGCUCUUUGAAUCGGGCUAGUUCUUGUGGGCCAAAUGAUCCCCAUCUGAGCAAUAGACCUCCAUUGGAUGCAUUUUAUGCGAUGGUCACGGGCUUUGAACUGCGACCCGUGACAUUCUCCCCCACCCAUUCUCGUAACGUCCUCGUUGUGACUUCCGAAUGGCACUGACUGGAUUUGCCUCAGUCUCGUCUCAACGCCUUAGCCUUCCCCUUCCUUCGGGACUUUUGCCUCGGCUUACAUCGCUUCUUAACUCGAACCGUCCUACUCGUUUGUACAUCUCGAUGACAAGAAGUUAUGUCACUCUCUUGUCCACAUUCUAACUUGACUCGAACAGAAUCCUCUUGAUUCACCACACUUGGCUUCACUUUGCCCACAAUCUCUCGGCCUCUUUGCUCAAGAACUUCGAAAGGGCCCCUAAGUUCUUGCCAAGUCAACAAGUUAGAAUGCAAAACACUAUCACAGUGUUCGAAACGUACCUUUGCAUUUACUCUGGUCAACUGUCCCACAUGCAUCACUUCUUUUCCCUUAAAGUCUAAUGCACCACCCACCUCUCCCAUAGGUGGACGCCUUGUCAACGACUCGGCCAACUCCGACGCUUCACUCAACUUGAGCCUCAUUGGUCCCAGCCUCACUGUUUUCAUCGCAACUCUUUCCUCUAAGUUCGAUGACAAACUCACCUCUUCCUUGGGUGGAAGCCCCUCCGAUGACUCACGAAGCUCAGACGUUGCCUUUCUUUUGACUUCGGCUUGCUUUGGACAGUUCCGCAACUCAUGCGGACCACGGCUCAAGAAGCACUUUACUCGCUUCUUUUCGCUCCUCUUUGCCCUCUUGGCUUCGGCUUUUCCCUUGCUCGAACCAAGCUUCUUGGGCUCCUUGUCUACUCCAUCGUUCCUCUUGAUGACAGACUUUCUUGGACACUUCCGCAACCUAUGCGGACCAUGACAUAAGAAGCACUCCACUGGCUUCUUCUCGCUUUCGGCCUCCUUGGCUUCGACACCCCUUACGCUCGAACCAAGUACCAAGGCCUUACCCACCGGCUUCUCCUUAAGUGCGAAUUUCUUCAGACAUUUCUUCAACAUGUGUGGACCGUCGCAAAGAAAGCAUUUCAGCUUGUCCCUUUUCCUCUCGAGUUUCUUCUUCCCAACUUGUGGUUUCCCAUUACCACCAUUGUCGCCGUUGCCAUUGCCAUCAACAAUAUCUUCCUUGUGAUCCAUUUCACAUACGCCCCUUUCCUCAGACUUGGAAGACCCAAGCUUGUCUUUCCCUAAACCAAUCUUGACCACGGACUCAACUACCGUCAUGGCUUCCGACAGCUUUUGGACACCUCUUUGUUCCACCUCUUGUCUGACCCACGGCUUCAAUCCAUUCUGAAAAGCAAGCAAUGCCUCUCUUUCGGUCGCCUCUAAAACUUGGAGCAUGAGUUCCUUGAACUCUUGAACAUACUCCCCCACUGUGCCCCGUUGCGUUAUCCCUUACAACUUUGCCCGAGCUUCUUCUUUAGCAAAUUCUGGGUAAAACUAUCCCUUCAAUUCGCAUUGGAACUCUUGCCACGUCCCUAUCUCACCUUGACUUUUAUCUGUGGUCCUACCUCGCCACCAUAAAAGCACAAUGUCAGUAAGAAACAUUGAAGCAGUGUUUACCUUAACCGCAUCAUCCAUGAUGCCUUUGGCACGGAAGUAGUUUUCCAUCCUCCUCAAGAAAUUGUCCACAUCGCAUGCAGACCUUGUCCCUACAAACUCUUUCGGCUUCGGGACAUCCUCGUUACUGAGUGCUGCAUUUGCCACUCCUUUCCUCACAGCUGCUCGACACAAGGCCAGCUCUCCCUCGAGCUCUUCUAUUCUUGUGGUCAAAGCUCUCGUCGUGGCCAUUGUUUCCUCUUUCAAAGCCAUCAUCAUGGCCUUGAGAGCAUCAUUCCUUUUCGACAGCUUAUCCCUGUAUGAAUUAAACAACUCGUUUACCUUAUCCAUGGUGGAACCAAGAGACAUCUUUACAUAGUCUCUCGACUGCUCCUUCCAGUUUGCUAUGCGAUCCUCAACCCCAUCGAGUGCCUCCUUUACAUCCUCCACGGAUCCCUCGAGUUUACCUACACGUUCCUCUACUGCCGAUAAUGUCUCCCUCAAAAACUUCCUCGCUCACAUUUGUUCGAACUCUUCUUUCGACAUCCCAACGGUGCCUUCGAACCAAUAACUCAGAUAUCACUUGGUUCGAACCAACAGCUCGGAUACCACUUGUCACGGGGCUAGACCUUUCGUCUCGCAAUCCGUGCAACCUUAGGCGAUCCGUUCAUCCAAACUCGCCCAAGUCAGCCUUAACACGUGUGAGGAUUCUUUUAGAACUCCUCCAAGGCACCAAAUUGAAGAGCGGAAGCGAUUUAUGCCAAAAGAAGAACAAUAGAAAGAACGCUCGCAAAGUGUUUAAGUAAAUGCUCUCUAUUCUCUUAUUCACAAAGAAUAAUGAAACAAUGAAUGGAGUGAGUACAACUGAGGGAAAGGCUCUCUAUUUAUAGUUGAGCUCCCCCAAAACCAACGGUCAAGAUACAUUUAUAUCGACGGAUGAGAUUAACCAUAUCCCUUAAUUUUAGGGAUUUACAAGAUAAGCCUUAUCUAAUCUAAUCUUCUAAGAUUAGUUACCAUAUUAGCCUAAGUUGCCAUCUCUUCAUUAUCGGGCCAACCAGGCUUAAUCUGACAGGCUUGUCCAAUAACUCUUUGAAUCGGGUCAAUUCUUGUGGGCCAAAUGAUCUCCAUCUGAGCAAUAGACCUCCAUUGGAUGCAUUUGGUGCGAUGGUCACGGGCUUUGAACUGCGGCCCGUGACACUUACAUGUUCUCUUUCUUUUUUAUUGCAUUUCAUAAAAAGGCUAAGUUUCAGUUUGGUCCUUUUAAUAUGUUUAAAUUUAAAACUUAAUUCAUAUAUUUUAAUUCUUAACAUAAUUUUAUCAUUAUAUUUUUAUAUUAUUAAUUUAUACUUUUUUUUCAUUUUUUAAAUUAUAAUAUAAUGGUCAAACUUUUUAUUUAAUUUGAUUCUCUUACUUUUAUAAUGUGGUUAUUUAGUCUAAAUAGUUAAUGUUGUUAACUAUUUCAAUCAAAAUGUUAUCGCCAUUUUUUCUUAAGAACACUACUCCAACAAAAAUAUUAUUUUAUCAUAAUUAGUUCAAAUGGAUACUUUUUUUUAAAAAAAUCUUAAUAGCUAUUUUCAAUAUUAUUUUUAUUGUUACAUGACAAACAAGAUAACUCUUUUUUUUUGUUUUGUUUCUAAAUGUUACACUAGUAAGUUUAGUAGAUGAAUUUUAACAGUGCUGACUAUCGCACUAAAUUUUUAAAUUCAAAAAAUAAAAAGAUAAAAUCCUUGAAAAUAAAAGUAGGGGACUGAAUUCUAAAUGUACGAUAGGUAUAAAGACUUAAAUUUUAUUUUAAUCUUCAAAUUUUUACUUCAUAAUUUGAUAAAACAAUUCAUCAAUCUGACCCAAAGCGUUAAAACCAUCUAGUAGGAAAAAGAGAAGGACCAUGUUGUGUUUGAACAAAGGUGUUGUUGAGAUUGAUCAUUUAAAAACAAAGAUCGCGGUUGUCAAUUCAUCAAUAGGGCAAGAUUUAUUUUUAGAUUUAUAAUGUCUACUUUUUCAAUUUCGUUCUUGCCUUAUCGCCCUCUUUAACACAAUAACAUCUUCAUUAUUGAAAUACAAUUAAACACAAUCAUACAAUACAUCAUCAGAGCAUACUUCCAAUAAAUUAUACAAGCUCGAAAUGUCAUUUAUUCUUGCAAAAAAGGGAAAGCAUGAAUAAGUAUCGAGUACUAUGAUGACAUAAAGCCAAUUCACUUUACUUCCUUCAUGGCUACCUCCAAUAAUUGUAACAUCAACCACAAUAUCCUUUGUGGUGCAUCUUUUAGUGAGAGAUGAUUGUCCAUGUAAGAAAAGUUUUUAAAGCUUUGAAGUUGAGUGCUUGUCGAGAUUUGUCAUGUUGUAGAUCACGUUGAAUAGAUUUUAGAAAUUCAAAUUGGAGAAAUUUGGAGGGAUUUCAUCGUUGAUUAAUCGACAAAUCAAGAGAUUCCAUUGACUUCAUGUUGCCAAUGUUGUUUGGUAUAUUUCUUAUUAGGAGAUUCCUUGACAAAUUUAAUGAUAGUAGCCCAACGAGAGUUCCAAUUUCUUUGGAGAUCUCUCUUGUGACAUUGUUAGCUGAAAUGUCUAUGCUGCUAACAAGUCUUGGUGUGGUACUCUAUUCAUCUUCUCAUCCUUUCAACACCAAUAGUGCACUCAAAUGUAUUUAUGUCCCAUUUUGAUAAUUCAAAUAUAGAAAUAAUUUCGUUAUAACAAGACACGAACCGAGCAACAACUUUCACAAUAAAAAUAAAAUUUAAAUUAGUACCUAACUGAAAGUACAUAAAUUUUAAUUCAUAAAAUAUUAUAUAUUAAAAUAGAUAGAGAUUGUAUAUUUAUUUUCUAUUGAUAUUAAGAUUUAUAUUUUAUGUUAUGCUUUUAUUUAUAUUUUAAUUUUAAUUUUAAAUUUUAUAUUAAUAUAAUAUAGUAAAAAUUAUUUUAAUCAUAUUUCAACAAAAAUUAUCAAAUUAGAUUAUCAUAUUAUAAUUUAAUAAUAGCAUGAGAGGUCAAAAGUAGUACAUAUAAAAGAACAAAGCAAAGAAAACCUAACCAACAUCACUAAAUAUAAACACGUCCUUACAUUUUCAUAAUCUGCGUAUGCACAAUAUCUUUCCUAUUGUUUUAAUCACUACAAUAUACGUAUAAAGGUUUAUAUUAUACUUUAGUUAAAUUACACCCAUAUUCACUUUAAAAUAUGGUUUAUCAUAUUUUGAUCAUUUUAAAUUGUUUUCAAUUUAAUCACUCUAAUUAAGAUAAUUGUUCGAAUUAAUCACGACAUUAAAAAUUCUAUUAAUUCAAUAAAAAUUGUUAAUUUGACAUAUUAAUCAAUUGAAUGUUUCAUAGGUGACAUAUUAAGCAUGAUAAGGAACAUCUAGUGUUGGUUCUACUUUGUUCGUUUCCCCCGUCUUAUUCAACCUUUAGAGACACAGUUUUAUAUUGCCGCGAGUCUCUCACAGUUGAUGAGGCUUAUGAUUCUUUGACAUCGUAUGAUAAAAUGAAACAUCUUAUGGUUAAACCCGACUCUCAGGGAAAGGGUCUCAUGAUUCGUGAGAGACAAACCGGAAUAUUGAUGAUGAGUGUGGAAGGACACAAAAAUGGAAUCCUCAUGGCAAAUUGAAGGGUAGAUCAAAGUAUUCAAAUAGAGGUAAAACUUGUAACUUCUGUAAGAAGAAAGGACACAUUAAAUCUGAGUGCUAUAAGCUGCAGAACAAGAUCAAAAGGGAGGCUACAAAUCAAAAGGGAAAACAACCAGAAAAAUUUGGUGAAGCUGAUGUUGUAGAAGACUACAGUGAUGGUGAACUUCUAGUCGCUUCUGUGAACAAUUCUAAAGUGAAUGAGGAGUGGAUCCUUGAUUCGAGCUGCACCUUCUACAUGAGUCCCAAUCAGGAUUUGUUUACACUUAUGAAACAGUGUCUGAAGGUGUUGUUUUGAUGGGAAAUAAUGUUUCAUGUAAAAUCACAGGUGUUGGAACGAUUAAAGUAAAUAUGUUUGACGGAGUUGUUAGAACACUUAGUGACGUGUGACAUGUUCUAGAAUUGAAGAGAAUUUUAAUUUCAUUGAGUACUCUUGAUUCAAAAAGGUACAGAUACACAGUUGAAAGUGAGGUUUUGAAUAUUUCCAAAGGUUCCCUCGUUGUGAUGAAAGGGUAGAGAAAGAGUACUGUCAAGUUAUAUGUUUUGCAAGGUUCUACUGUUACUAGUGAUGCAGCUGUCGCUUCCUCUUCCUUGUCAAAUGAUGAUCUUACUAGACUUUGGCAUAUGCACCUAGGGUAUAUGAGUUAUUCAAAUCGGUUUUCUUUAUGUUGAAAGUGGGGUUUCAUCAAAAUUAAGAAUUAAUGUUUUCAUGUAUGAUGUAACCUCUACAAUCCGACAGUAACGUCUAAGCUGAGUUUGGGGUGUUACAUUGGGCUUGCUUGAGUGGAUACCUUGGGAAACUAAAAUAAAUUUAAGAAAACUAUAAUUAAAUUUUUAUCUAUUUUUAUUUUUAAAUUAUAAAAAAAUUUGUUGAAAUGUUAUUAAAUAAUUGAAAAGGGAUAAUGGAUAAUGUAGUGGGAAAUAUCUAUAAAAUAGUUUCUCCAACAAAACAUAUUCAUACAUUAUCAUAACACAAUUUGAUCCAAUCUUCGGUAAAUUAUGCCAACCUAAAAUGUCAUUGCAAAAGGGAAAACAAGAAUAAGUAAAGAAUAAUAAAUCUAAACUCGGAGUUUAGUUCAAUUGAUUCAUGUAAUCCCUUUUAAAAUGUGACAUUUAAUAGAUUUGAGAUCGAAAGCUUAUAUAAUCAAUACAAACACACAAACGUUAAUUAUACAUGUUUUUUUUUUUUUCCAUCAAACUACAUACCCAUAGUAGCCCAAUACACAAACAGCUUUCGACCAACAUGGUACACCAAGAUCUGAUGAAAAACAAGGGAGCCACUACACCCCAAAAUCCCAUUAUAAAGCCAAGAACUAUGUUGAUAUAAAGCCAAUUCACUUUACUUCCUUCACUGCUACUUCCAUUAUUUGCAGCAUUAGUUGGAAUACCUUUUGUGUUGCAAUUUUUAGUGAGAGGAGAUCCGCAAAGAUGAUUGCCCAUGUAAGAAAAGUUUUCAAAGCUUUGAAGCUGAGUGCUUAUUGGGAUUUGUCCUGUCAAUUUAUUGUAGGCUUAUGAUUGGAUGGGUUUUUCUCUUUGGGAGGUAAUAAGAUAUGUAUAUAACAGGAUCUUGCUUCUUACACCUGCCACAUACUUACAUGUUCUCUUUCUUUUCUUUCCAUUUCAUAGAAAGGUUAAAUCUCAGUUUUGGUCCUUUUUAAUAUGUUUAAACUUGAAAUUUAAGUUUAAAGAGCCUUUGUUUUCUACGUGGCACACACUUACAUGUCUUUUUUUGCAUUUCAUGAAAAAGGUUAAAAUUUUAGUUUUGGUCCUUUUAAUAUGUUUAAAUUUAUAACACAUAUGUAAAAAGAUCUGGAAAGGACCUUCCUUGUGACAUGUGGCACACACUUACAUGUUCUCUUUUUUCAUUUCAUAAAACAGGUUAAAAUUCAGUUUUGGUCCUUUUAAUAUGUGUAAAUUUAAAAUUUAGGUCCAAAGGACCUUCCUUUUGACACGUGCCACACACUUACAUGUUCUCAUCUUUUUCUGUAGCAUUUCAUGAAAAAGGCUAAAUUUCAGUUGGUACUUUUAAUAUGUUUAAAUUUAAAAUUUAAUUCAUAUACUUUAAUUUUUAACAUUGAUCAUUAUAUUUUUAAUAUUAUUAAUUAAUCCACUUGACAUGCUUUUCUUUUCUUUUCUUUUUCUUUUUUUUUUUUUUGCAAUUUUUACAUUACAAUAUAAUGGUCAAAAUUCAAUUUUGACCUCUAUAUUAUGUUGAAACUUAAGAUUGAAUCUAUAUACUUUAAUUUUUUAUGUAAUUUGAUUUAUGUACUUUUAUAAUGUCGUUAUUUAGUCUAAAUGGUUAACAUUGUUAACUAUUUUAAUCAAAAUGUUAAUAUCAUUUUUUUCUCAAGAACACUACUUCAACAAAAAUUCAGAAAAUAAAGAGACCAAAUCCCUGAAAAUAAAAGUCAUAGAUCAUCUUAGAGCAUACUUUCAAUAAAUUAUACAAGCUCGAAAUGUCAUUUAUUCUUGUAAAAAGGAAAAGCAUGAAUCAAGUAUCGAGUACUAUGAUGAAUUAAAGCCAAUUCACUUUACUUCCUUCUUGGUUACCCCCAUUAAUUGUAGCAUCAACCAUAAAACCCUUUGUGGUGCAUCUUUUAAUGAAUGAGAGGAGGUAUGAUUGUCCAUGUAAGAAAAGUUUUCAGAGUUUUGAAGUUGAGUGCUUGUUGGGAUUUAUCUUAUCAAAUUGUUGUAGGUCACAAUCAAAAGAUUCAAGAAAUUCAAAUUAGAGAAAUUUAGAGGGAUUUCACCAUUGAUUCAUCGAUAAAUCAAGAGAUUCCAUUAACUCCAUGUUGCCAAUGUUGUUUGGUAUAAUUCAUGCUAGGAGAUUCCUUGACAAAUUUAUUGUUAAUAGCCCGACGAGAGUUUCAAUUUCUUUGAAGAUCUCUCUUGUGAGACUAUUAGCUGAAAUGUCUAUGCUGAUAACAAGUCGUGGUGUGGUACUAUAUUCAUCUUCUCAUCCUUUCACCACCAAUAAUGCACUCAAAUGUAAGAUGAAAUCAGAUGAAAUAGCAGGACCACCACGCAGCAUUGAGCUUAAUUAAUUCUAUGAGGAUAAAUGGCAUUAAUCAUUUGUAUUUAAGAAAAAAAAGAUAAAUGGGGAUCUUUAUAAAAAAAAUUUAGACAAAAAAUAAAAUAAAAAUAAACGAUUAAAAUAUUUAUUUACCAGUAAUUAUUUUUUUUAACUAAUCAAAAAACUUUAAAAAUAUCAAUUAAUUUAAAAUCCACAUGAAAAAUUUGGGUUGUUGAUGUGAGUUAGGAGUCUAAGACCUUAUAAUAUAUAAUAUAUGAUAUAUUAAAAUUUUAAGAAUAUUAUAUUAUAUUUCAAAUUCAUUAUUUUUAAAUUUUGUAAAAUUAAGUUAAGAAUUAAUUACAAUACGGCUGUAUAAGGGACAUGAAUGCAUAAGGUGAAUACUAGACUGAUGCAAAAUCCAGAUUUCAUAAAUAAUUCCAAGAAGAAUAACUAAAACUCUUCAACCUUGAGAAUAGAUAUCUUUCUUGCCACCAUCGUUUAUUGGUAAAACAACUAAACUCUUUUAAAGCCAUUUACAAGUAAUAAAUCCAAUCAACUCAAACUACCUUAAUUAGUUUCAAUAAGCUUCAAACGAACCAUGAAGACAAAUAUAAAUUUUGUGUCAAUAUUUGUACUCCAAACUGAUACGAAAUAGUAUUUGUACUAUUUUAGUCACUCUAAUUUUUUUUUCAAUUUAAUCAUUUUUAUUAAAAUAAUUGUUUAAAUUAUUCACUAUCAUUAAAAAUUUUGUUAAUCCACUAACACCAGUUACGUACCUAUUAUCCAAAGAAGAAUCCUUCCAGUAGUAUCGGCCAUUUAUCUCGCUUCCCUCCGCAUUUCAUCAAGUGGUCAUGCUAAAGACAUAAACAGUCAUAGAUAAUUAUGAGAUACAAUCCUUCUGAAUGGGAUAAGAGAAUUCCUACUAUUAUUUAGUAUUCUACUACUCUUUUUUUUCUUAAUUGAAGAAAUAAUUGGAAAAUAAAAUAGCAAUUACAAAAAUGAGUAAUAACCCCCAGUAGAGACUAGUACGAUUCAAUUCAACAUUUUGUUCGCUCUGGUUUGAUUGUGUCAAAGCUCUAUAAUUAAUUCGAAUUAGGUUUAUCGUUGGAUGAAAUGCAUUGCUGAUAUUGACCCCAAAAAAGAAACGGUGGGUACAGCUAGUCCGUGAACAGCCAACAAUCACACUGUAAAAAUUGGAUAGGUUCGAUCUAUGGUCAUUGGGUCCUCCUAAAAAGAUCUACUAAAUUCAUCGUGUUGUUUCAAAGAAUCAAAACGGCCAGUUAUUAAUGGAAUUCCUUGUUGACUCUCUGUAAAAUGCUCGUUUGGACGAGGGCUUCCAAACACAUCAUAAGCUAAACUUGUGCUGACCAAUAACCAACUAAAUAAUGACAUAUAAAUUUUUUUUAACUUUUGAAAAAAAGCUUACAAACCUCUCUAUAAUUAAUUUAAAAUAAAUUUUCCUUUUCUAUUCUCUCUAUAUCUCAAAAUGGAGAAACCAAAAUAGGGCAUCUCAAAGCUACCUGUCUUUCACCAUUUUCUCAACAAUGAAUCAAUGAGAACAAUCAACGAUAACCCACCAUACAUACACAAAUAAUAAAAGAAGAAUGAACAUAUAUAAAAACCCCAAUCAAAAUCUACACGAAUCUAACGGUCAUCAAGGAUUGUCCCACUAACAUAAUUGACAACAUCCUCUGCAUCUUAGAGAGAGAGAGAGAGAGAGAGAGUUACAAGACAAAGCAAAAUCUGCAAGGUGUUUUAGACUUCUUGCUAAGGCCCAUGGUUAUUUUCUUGAUUUCACCGGCUGUAGAAAAGAUCAUAAACUUGUUCUUUUGUAGUGUAAAAAGACGUGUUUCCGAUGUAGAUGGUUAUCGAAGUGAGGAGUGCUUACUCGAAUUCCUCUUGCGAACCAUUAAAUCUAUCGUCUCGGUACGCUGAAAGCUUAGCUGGGUCCUAUGAUUUAACACCCCCCCCCCUUUUAAAACAAUAGAGAGAAAAUUUAUCAUUUAAUUGAUUUACAUUGAAAGCAAUUAAGAAGCAGAGAAAAUAUCUUGAAAAGAGAAUCCAUUGCCUUCUUCAAAAGCUCCCAAAAAUUUAAAUUGCCUGCACAUAACGAAUUAUAAAGGUUGAAGCUUUUUCCCAUUCCCUUGCCCUAUCCAUGCCAUAGAUCCAUCUUAUUUAUUUAUGUUCACUCUUCUUUAAUUAUUUGUGGAUGUAUGGUGGGUUAUCCUUGAUAGUUGCCACAGGUCCAUUGUUGAGAAACUAGUGAAGGGCAUGUAGCUUUGAGAUGCCCUGUUCUGGUUUCUCCUUUUUGAGUUGCUUAGAGAAGAAAAAUAGGAAAAAUGUCUUUUUGGAUUAAUUAUAGUGUAACAAUCCGAAAGUUAGUAGAAUCAGAAACAGUAUUUUCAAAACUCUAUUUUUUAUGUUUGAAUUCAUUAAUAUCAUUAUUUAAUAUUUACAAGACUAGUAUGAAGUUUAAUUAAAAUUUGGUUCUUUAAUUUUGUUAAUGAGAUAGUUAAGGAAUAAAUAUUUUGACCCUAGCAUCAGUGGUAUUGGAAAAUAAAGUAUAGGGAUUACAUUUCCGUAAACUAAGCCUAUGAAUAUUUAAUAAUUACCAAGUUAUAUUAUAAGUGAACUGAAUUUUGAAUAGCUAAUUUUAUUGAAUUGAUAUUUAAUUAAAGUUAAAGAAUUAAAUUGUAAAAAUGAUAAAAAUUUAAUUGCUAAAAAAUCUUUAGCUAGUACAGGGAAAAGGAACUUAAGUACAAUUGAACCACUAUGCUAAUAUUGGUGGAUGGUGGUGGAUGGAUUAGUGAUCAUUGACAGUAUAAAUUUUAAUUAAUUAAAUAAAACAAAAAAUAAAAUAACAUAAAACAGUAAUAAAACAUUUGGGUGAAAAGAAACGGAAAGCAUUACCUUGCCCAAACUUCACCGCCGAUAUUUUCAAAGAAGAAGAAGCAGCUUUCGGCCUUUAGUGGUUUCAAAUUUCAAUUCCAAAAUCGAUUCGUUUAAUUUAGUCUCUCUUUUUUAUUUUUUUGUAAUUUUUAUAUUUUUAAAAUUGUGGGAGCUUAAUCUAGUUAAUCUAUAUCUCAACUUGUUAAACUGUUAAAGUUUCAAGAAGUUACCAUUGUUGAGUUAUUGAAGUUUUAGGUGCUAAAUUGAUAGAUUUUAAGCAUAUAGGUGAAAAAAGGACUCAAUUGUGAAAUUAAUUGAAAUUGCGUAAAUUAGGGACUAAACUGAAUGAAUUAUAGAAUAGGUUGUAGAAAUGAGUAAUAUGAGAUCUUUAAUGGCUAAUAGUGAAAACUGAUUUCCAUUUGUAAUUGUAGAUUUAAAGUUAUGUUAAUCCCAAUUUUAAAGGCUAAACUGAAGAAAUUGCAAAAUUUUAGGAGGCAUUCAAAUGAUGAAAUUGAAUUGAUACAUGCACAUAAUAGAAUGAUAUAAGAUGUGUGGAAUUGAUAAAUUGAAUGAAAUAAUUGUCAAGACUUGGAUCAAACCGGAAAUAAUCGAGGAAAAAACAAAAUUGUUGAAUAGUACUUAAAGUUUCAACUUGUUUAUUGUUUUAACCAAGUAAGUCCAUAAGGUAUGGUUAUAUAUAAUUGUAACAUAUUUUUGAAUUAUGAAAUUGCUUUUGUGUGGUUUUAAUUUGAAUUGUUUACAAUUUAGUACAAAAAGGUGUGAUAUGGAUUAAAUCAUAAAGAAAUGAUAAAUUAAAUAUGGUAAAUUGCAGUUUAAGACAUUUAACAAAUUGAUAGUUAAUUUUGAUUGACCAAAUAGGAUUGGUAUGAAUUUGAUUGAUUACCGAGAUAGAGGAUUAAAUUGAAUAAUUUGAAAAAUAUAUAUGACUUGAAAUUGAAUGUGAUUUGAAUAGAAUUUGAUAUUAUACCACUACUGAAUUAUUAUUCGUAGCUAAAAAUGACGCAGGAUCGUUGAAUGGGAAAGGGAAGGCCAUAGUCGAUGACAGGUGACACGAGUUUUAAGUUUAUAUUUUUAUGACCUGAAACUAAUUUUAGUUAAUGCAUAUUUAUGAUAUAUUCCAUUAUAUAGCAUUAAGGUAAGGUAUAUUAAUAGAUACUGAGUGAAAAUGCUAAGAGUGGAAGUGAAUAUCAAGACUUGGACUAAAUUGAAUAGAAUAGAAGGUGAUUUAAUUAAUUCAUGAAAUUGGAUGUGAAUAGUGAUAGUAUAUAAAAAGAGCAUGUACUUGGUGGAGUCCCUUGUGUUUUGCUAUUUUUGGGAUAUUUGAGUUAGAAGCUAAUAAUAAUGCUUAGAAGUAUGUUUGGUAAAGUCGGCAAUGAAAGUUAGUAUAAUUUGAUUAUAUGUUUUAAUAUUGGUAUGGAACUCAAUGGUAUAUUUUGAGCAUAUUGGUAUGGUGAUAGAAAGGUUUUGAAAUGGUUUGUGGUGAUAUAAAUCAGUGCGUAUUUGGUUAAAUAUGAGUAAAUUAUAAAUAGGCUCGAAUAUGGUAUGAAAUGUUAUAAUAGUGAUUGGAUUUAGUAGUUAGGUAAAUAUGCUAAUUUGUUUAAAUGAUUAAUGCUUUUGUUACAUGAAGGGAUAUGAGUCUUAUGUGUUUUGGGCAUAAUGCAAAGCAUAUAUGAACAUCAAUAUUAAUGACAAAGUUUUGAAAGCUCAAAGGUAAGACUUGAACUUAUGAAUGACUUGGAAUUUAGAUUGGUUAAAUGGUUCAUGUCAUAGAAAUCUUAGUUAUGUAUAAAUGAGUUAAUUGAUAAGUUGUGGUGCCAAAAUAUGACAUAUUAGUUAGUUGGUUAUAAAUGUUUAGGUAUGUUUUAGAAUGUUUUUGUGCAGGUUUUAUUGGGUGCAUAUGGACACCAAGUUAAUGCAAACUUAGUUGGGCAUGAAAUAGGCAUAAAAUGAAAGAUUUUGACAUUUGGUACCAGACUAUUGAUACCCUAGCAAAGGUAUCGGUACUUAGCAAUUUAAAUCAGGACUUCAAUUAAAUAGAAUGCCAAUUUAGUUUUGAUACUAUAAAUUGGUAGUGUGAAAAUAGAAUGUCGAUAAUGACAAUGUGUUGCAAAGAAAAGAAAGAAAAAUAGAACACACAAAUUUUACAUGGAAACCCUUUCGGGGGGAAACCACGGCCAGAGGAGAAAAAAUUCACUAUGUCAAAUUUGAAUGAUACAAAAGGAGUAUAGACUACGUCUAUUUAUAGGUUUUUAAAACCAUAUUCUAAUCAAAGUCACAUAGAAGUAAUGCAAUAAGUUUAAAACUCCUUAUUCUAAUAAACAUCAAAUAGAGGAAGUAAACUUCUAUAAAGAUUUCACUUGUGCAACCUAUAUUGGACUGCGGGGGCUAGUUGUGACCCUAGUCUAGUGUUUUGCUUAUUGGGGAUCUACAAUGGGCUGCGGCCUUCGCCCUCAUAGAUCCCUCUAUCUUGCCACUUGUAUUAUUUUUUAACAGGAAUUUGGUUCACACAACUCUAACAAUCUCCACAUUGACAUGAAUUCUCAACUAACAAAUUCUUCAUCACAAAUUUUUAACGAACAAGUUCUCCACCUCUUCCAUGAAACCCCUUUAAGGGUUUAUAUUAAAAAAUGAACACCAAUCAAGUCUAAGCAAUACUCAAACAUGGUUAUAGGAAGUGACUUAGUCAACAUAUUUGUAAGAUUAUCAUGAGUACUGAUUUUGCUCACAGCAAUAUCAGCACAAGCAAUAAUAUCACGAACAAAAUGAUAUCGAAUAUCAAUGUGCUUUGUUCUCUCAUGAAAUAUUUAAUCCUUUGUAAAGAAGAUAACACUUUGAUUGUCACAAAAUACUGUAGUAAUUUGAAGGUCUUCAUUGAGUUCAUUAAAAAGCACUUUAACCAAAUAACUUCUUUAUAAGCCUCAGUAAUUGCCAUGUACUCAGUUUCAAUGGUAGACAAAGUGACAGUAGUUUGCAAAGUGGUUUUCUAUCUGAUUCCACAACCCUCAAUUGUAAAAACAUAACAUGUGAGAGGCCUUAUUUUAUCAAAGUCUCCAGCAAAAUCAGCACCAACAUACUCAAUAACUCCAUCUCUAUUUUUUCCAAACUUUAAGCAAACAUCAGUAGUACCUCAUAAGUAUCUCAAAAUCCACUAAAUUACUUUCUAGUGUUCUUUAUCGAGAUUCACCAUGUAUCUACUAAAUACACUAACUGCAUAUGAUAAAUUUGGACGUGAAUAAAACAUAGCAUACAUAAGAGAUCCCACUGUACUAGAAUAUGGAACAUGCGACAUAUAGUCAAUCCCAUCAUUUGAUUGUGGAGACAAAACCGAUGAAAAUUUGAAAUGGGCUGCUAAAUGAGUACUAACAGGCUUAGCACUUUACAUAUUGAACCUGUAAAGGACUUUCUCAAUGUACCAUUUCUAACUUAGGUACAAUUUACUUGCUUUUCUAUCUCUGAAAGUCUCCAUACCAAGUAUCUUAUUUGCUGCUCCCAAAUCCUUCAUCUCAAAUUCUUCACUAAAGUGGGUUUUAACUUUUCUUAUCUCUCUUUUAUCUUUCACUGCUAUCAAUAUAGAGGAGUAGAUACAUAAAAGAAUCAUCACUAUUUUUCUUAAAAUAAACACAUCUGUCAGAGCUACCUUUAAAUCAUGAGUAGUCAUAAAAGAAUCAAACAUCUUAUACUAUUGUCUUGGUGACUGUUUCAAGCCAUAAAGGGAAUUUUUCAACAUGCAAAUAUAGUCCUCUCUUUUUGAGAUUGUAAAACCUCUAGUUGUUGCAUGUAAAUGUCCUCCUCAAGUUCUCCAUGCAAGAACAUUGUUUUUAGAUCUAAUUGUUCGAGCUCCAAAUUAUACAUGGCCACAAUACCAAGCAAGGCUCGAAUCAAACUUUACUUCACAACUGGAGAAAACACAUUUGUGAAGUCCACACCUAGAAUCUAACUAUAACCUUUUUGCAACAAGUCUUUCUUUAUAUCGGAUUUCUUCAACUCCUGGAGUCUAUUUUUUCCUUUUGAACACCCAUUUAAAACGAACCUUCUUACCUUUAGGAAGCUUCACAAGAUCCUAUGUUCUAUUUUUGUGGAGUGAUUUCAUCUCUUCUUGCAUGACAAACAUCCACUUCUCUAAGCCUUCACAGCAAACUACCUCGAAAUAUGUAGAUGGCUCUUAAUUUACAUCUAUAUCUGUAGCCUCAUUUAAAGCAUAAGCAACUAGAUCAUCUUUGUCAUACAUCUUUAGAGGUUUUAGUUCUCUUCUAGUUUUGUUUUUGGUGAUAGAAUAUUAUAGUGAAUAAGUGACUUUAUUCUAAAUUUAUGUACUUUGAAGAGUUAACUUUGUUAUAGAUACUAGAUAAAUCUGAAGCUCCACCUACUUUUGAUAUUAUUUAUUUGAAGAGUCUUUAAGAGGUAAGUUAGGAAACAUAGCAGUUUCAUCAAAAAUAACAUCUCUACUAAUCACAACUUUUUUUUAUUUUCAAGACCCCAUAACUUAUACCCCUUUUACACCAACCUAAUAACCAAGAAAAACACAUUUAAUGGAUCUCGGUUCCAAUUUUUCAUUAUCAACAUGAGCAUACGUAGGACACCCAAAAAUCUUUAAAUUAGAAUAAUUAGCAAGAUUACUAGACCAUGCCUCUUGUGGAGCCUUUUUCUCAAUUUCAACAGAUAGAGAUCGGUUGAUAAAAAAAUGUAGUAGAGGCUGCUUCAGCUCAAAACAAAUUCAGUAAAUUAGCAUUUGACAACAUACUCGAACCUUCUACAUGAUCGUUCUGCAACGUUGUUUUGCUGUGGAGCAUGACGAAUUGUCAAGUGUCUCACAAUCCCUUCUGAUUUGCACAAUUCGUUAAACUCAUCAGAAUAAAACUCCAAGUCAUUAUCUAUGCGAAGGUGUUUUAUCUAUUUUCUUGUCUAUUUUUUAACCAUAAUUUUUCAAGACUUGAAUGUGAAAAACACAUCGCUUUUCCACUUCAGGAAGAACGCCCAAACUUUUCUAAAAAAAACCAUCAAUAAGUGUUAGCGUAUACUUAGCUCCACCUCUCAAAGGCACUCUAGAUGGUCCCCAAAUAUCAGAAUGAAUAUAAUCCAAAGUUCCCUUCAUGCUAUGGAUUUCUUUGGUGAAUCAAACUCUCUUUUGCUUCACGUAGUGCUCACAAAACUUCAAUUUGCAAAUUUCUUAGCCAUCAAGAAUCCUUUUUUGCUCAAUUCAGCCAUGUCAUUCUCACUCAUAUGCCCUAAACACAUAUGAAAAAGUCUAGUAAUAUCAUCAUCUGACAAGGAAGAGGAAGUAACAGUUGCAUCUCAAGUAAUAGUAGAACCUAGCAAAACAUAUAACUUAACAAUUUUUCUCUGCCCUUUCAUCACAAUAAGGAAAGCCUUGCUAAUCUUCAAAACCUCACUUUCAGCUGUGUAUUUGUGUCCUUUUGAAUCAAGAGUACUCAAUGAAAUCAAAUUCCUCUUCAAUUCUGGUACAUGUCAUAUGUCACUAAGUGUUCUAACGACUUUAUAAAACAUUGUGAUUUUGAUUGUGCCAACACUUGCAAUUUUACAUGAAGCAUUAUUUCCCAUCAAAACAACACUUUCAGGCACUAUUUCUUAAGUUGUAAACCAAUCCCCAUUAGGAAUCAUGUAGAAGGUGCAGCCAUAAUCAAGAAUCUAUUCCUCGAGUACUUUAGAAUUGUCGGUAGAAGCAACUAGUAGUUCACCAUCGCUGUAGUCUUCUACAACAUCAACUUCACCAGAUUUUUCUAGUUGUUUUUCAUUUUGAUUCAUAGCAUCCCUUUUGAUCUUCUUCAGUAAUUUAUAGCACUCAAAUUUAAUGUGCACUUUCUUCUUUAGAAGUUACAAGUUUUACCUUUGUUUAAAAAAUCUUGAUCUACCAUUUGAUUUACUACGAGGAUUUCAUUCAUGUGUCCUUCCACGAUUAUCAUCAGUUUUCCAUAUUUUUCUCCCACGAACAAUGAGACCCUCUCUCUAAGAGCCAAAUCUAACCACACGAUGUUUUAUUUUAUCAUACAAGGUUAAAGAAGUAUAGACUUCGUUAACUGUGAGAGAUUCGCGGCUACAUAAAAUCGUGUCUUUCAAGGUUGAAUAAGACGAGGGCAACGAGCAAAGUAGAAUCAACCCUAAAUCUUCUUUAUUAUACUAAACCUUCAUGGCCUCCAAGCCCGAGAGAAUUUUUUUAAACAAAAUUAAGUGUUCAUACACAGACGCAACUUCCUCCAAACGAUGAGCAUAAAGAUGCUACUUCAUAUAUAACUUACUAGUUAGGGUUUUUUACAUGCAUAACUGUUAUUGUUAAGUUUUAAUUAGAUAUUAGUUAUUGUUAAGCCUAUAUUAUUAGAGGUGUUAAUAAGUUGGACUGGGUCGGGCUUAUAUAUGAUAUUAGUACAUUUUAUAUUUGUCCAAACUCGGUCCAGCAUAAAAUAUGUACUUAAAAUUUUGCCCAAAAUUAUUCGUAUUUAUAAAUCGCUAACCUAAGCUUGUUUUUCUUUUUUGUGAAUAACCUAAGCCUAUUUUAGGUUCACCCAUAUCUUUUUUUUAAAUAUAUUAAUUUUAUUUCAAUAUUUAAUAUUUUAAUUUUUUUUUGCUUUAUUAAAAAUUUAAAUAUAGGCAACAUAACAUGUUUUUUUUAAUACUUAAACAAUACAAUAUUAGGGUAAACUAUAAAAAUAAUCGUCCAAUUAGUAACGUAUUUCUGUUUUAGUUACUUAGGUUUCAAAUUUUCUAUUUUAAUUAUUAAUGUAUAUAAAUUUAAUAUUUUGACCACUUCUCUAUUAAAUCACUAACGGUGGCCUUUUUAUUAGCAUAAUAAAAAUUCUAGCCCUCCAAUAUUUAUAAAUUCUAUCAACUUAGUCCUAAAUCUAAAAACUUCAACAAAUUUAGUCUUUUAACAUUAUAUGAUCUUCUCCUAAUUGCAUCAAAACACAUAAAUUACACACAAAGCACUUUCUUCGCAAAGAACUAAAUAACCUCAAAUUACACAUCAACCAAAAGGGAUUAUAGUUUUACCCGAUACCACAAACACGCACAGGAUUGAAACAAUAGAGAAGGUAUUGAAAAACAAAAGUUAUGAGCAGGAACAGUUUCGAUGAAUAGAAUUAGGAAGAAGAAAAUUGAAAAGGAAAAUUUUGGGGGGAAAUUGCAAAAGGGACGGCAAAAAAGAAAAGAGUGAGAGUGUGUGGGAGAAGUGGGAUAGAUUUUGGGAGUUUUUUGAGUGAUAAAGCAAGAAAUAAAAAUAUUUUUAGUUACACGAAUAGGAUUCUAACGCAAGAUCAAAAGAGUAUGCUACGCCCAUAACACUAAACCAAUAAGUUCUUCCUUAUCAAUAUAUGUGCACAAAUAGUUGUUAAACCAAAUACUCCAAGUUAGGGGUUUAGACAAAAUUUAGCAAAAUAUUAAAAAAAAAAUAACCCAAACCCAAAAAUCUCUCACACACAAGAACAACACUUAACCACUAAAUCAAAUCAAUUCACUUAUCAAUUUCUAACAAUUCAAAGAGUGGGGCAUUAGAAUUUUGUUAAGCCCAAUCUACAAUUAAACAAAGAAGUAGUUAUAGCUCCAAUAUUGACUCAAAUUGUUAAAAAUCACUCGCUUAAAUACCUCACAAUACAAUCAAUAUACUCUCCAAAUAAUACCUAAAAGAAAGUCACAAAACAACCACUAAAAUACAACAAAGUGGUGGACAAAGACACCCAAAAACUAGACUCCAAGUGACACCAAAAGCAAGAGUCCAUCAAAUAAAAUUUUUAUCAGCUUUAAACUUCUAUUUAAAAGGUAAAAUUAACUCAUUAAUUAUCCUGAGUAUUUAUCAACUAAAAGUGUUCAUAAAUUAGUCUUCUAACUGCUUUGAAACUCUAUCAAGAAAUAAUAAGACUUUUAUGUUUAUCCAAUCACCCCAAGCAAUUCGAUUGAGAGUCUUUAAAAUUUUAGUCAAACUAUACUUCGUGUUUUGUCAAUCUUAAUGGCCUAAGUAGAGUAAUAAGUUUGUUAUAACGGGACAUGGAACGAACAACAACUUUCCCAACAAAAAUAAAUUUUAUGUUAGUACCUAACUGAAAUUACAUAAAUUUUAAUUAAUAAAAUAAUAUAUAUUAAAUAGAGAUUGUGUGUUUAUUUCCUAUUGAUAUUAAUAUUUAAAUUUUAUUACAUGUUUUUAUUUAUAUUUUAAAUUUAAAUUUAAAUUCAAAUUCAAAUUCAAAUUUUAUUAUAAUAUAAUUUAUUUUAAUCCUACUGCAACUAAAAUUGUCAAAUUAAAUUAUCAUAUCAUAAUUUAAUAAUCACUCCUGGGUAGCGCGUGAGGUCGAAAUUAGAUGAUAUAAAGCAACAAAGAAAAGAAAACCUAAGAUAGAUUUUUAUGUUCAUUAAAUAUGUUAUGUUUAUAUUAUAUUUUGGGUAAAUUACAUCUAAUGUCACUUAAAAUAAAGUUCAUCUUAUUUUUAUUGUUUUAUUUUUUAUUUUAAUUAUUUUAAUUAAAAUAAUUAUUAGAAUUAAUCACUGUAAUUAAAAAUUCCCUUAAUCCACUAACGGAUUGAAUAAUAACACAUUAAAACUUUAUUUUUAUUUUUGACAAAUUUACGGAGCUCUAUGUAAUUAAUCAAAAAAAAUUUUCCUUUUCUCUUCUCUAUGUAAUUCAAAAUGAAGAAACCAAGCAUCUCAAAGCUACUUAUCUUUCACCAUUUUCUCAACAAUGAAUCUAUGGCAACUAUCAAUGAUAACCCACCAUACAUCCACAAAUAAUUAAAGAAUAAUGAAAAUAUCUAAAAACCCCAAUCAAAAUCUACACGAAUCUGACGGGGAUCAAGGAUUGUCCCACUAAUUUAUUUAACAACAUCCUCUGCAUCUUCCCUAGAAUGAUACCUGAUGAAAAUAAAAACCCCAAUAACCAAUUGAAAGUUUUAAAAUAAAUAUGAACAGGAUUUAGGGGAGGGAGGGAGAGAGAGAGAGUUACAAGACAAAGGAAAAGCCACAAGGCGUUUUAGAGUUCUUGUUAAGGCCCAUAAUUAUUUUCUUGAUUUUACUGGAUGUAGAGAAAAGCUCAUAAACUUGCUCCUCAAUAGUGUAAAAAGACAUGUUUCCGAUGUAGACGGUUGCUGAAGUGAGGAGUGCUUGCUCGAAUUCCUCUUGCGAACCGUUAAAUCUUCGGGUACGCUGAAAGCUUAGCUGGGUCCUAUGACAAGGCCCCCCAAAAAGAGAGAAAAUUUAUCAUUCAACUGAUUUACAUUGAAAGUAAUUGGGAAGCAAAGAAAAUAUAUUGAACAUAAAAGCCAUUACCUUCUUCAAAAGCUCCCAAAAAUUCGAAUUGCCUGCAUAUAACGAACUAUAAAGGUUGAAGCUGUUGCCCUUGCCCUAUCGAUGCCAUAGAUCCAUUCUUAUUUAUAUAUGUUCAUUCUUCUUAAAUUAUUUGUGGAUGUAUAGUGGGUUAUCCUUGAUAGUUGUCAUAGAUCUGUUGUUGAGAAACUGGAGAAGGGCAUGUAGCUUUGAGAUGCCCUGUUCUGGUUUUUUUUUUUUGGACAGAUCUGGUUUCUCCUUUUUUCAGUUACAGAGAGAAGGGGAAAAAAUGUUUUGGAUUAAUUAUACAGAGGUCCCUAAGCUUCUGUCAAAAUUCAAAAGAAAGUAACAUGUUAUCAUUCAAUUGGCUAAUAUACCACAUUAACAAUAAGUUAGUUGAUUAAUGGAAUUUUUAACAAUAGUGAUUAGUUCAAAUUCUUAUCUUAAUUAAAGUGACUAAAUUGAGAAAAAAAUUUAUAGUGAUCCAAAUAAGACAAACCCUAUUUUAAAAUGAUAUUAGUUGUAGUUUACGCUUAUACUUUUAUGCAUGUUUAAAAUUAAUAAUAUUUUUAGAGAAAAGAAAUUCAUUAACAAGAAAUUCACAAAUCAAAAGCAAACACAAAGAGGAGACAGACUACUAAACCCGAGCCAAUAGGCUCACCCCAUACACCCAAACCUACUGUCUGUGAUCCUCAUUUGUAUCAACAUAAGACGAUUUCAACAUUUUUCAGAAAAGAUGCAGGGGGAAAAGUAUUAAAGUCAAUGUGGUUGGCAUAUAACAAAGCUGCUCACGCAAACGAAUAGGUUGCCUUGCUGACACACCGACGAGUCCAGAAAAAGGACAGACUCUAAUAUUAAUCUUUCAACACCAAACAAUCAAGUAGCAACACACCUGGCUCAAAUGCAUCAAUCAUUGAGGUUUCUUUUUCCCAUCAAACUACAUACUCAUAGUAGCCCAAAACCCAUACAGUUUGCCAUAGAUAUGGUCCAGCUUUCGGUAGUAUGCAAUCCUCCAAGACCUAAUGAAAAACAAGGGAGCCACUACACCCCAAAAUCCCAUUACAAAGCCAAGAACUAUGCUGACAUAAAGCCAAUUCACUUUACUUCCUUCACUGUUUCUUCCAUUAUUUGCAGCAUUAGUUGGAAUGCUUUUUGAGGUGCAGUUCUUAGCGAGAGGAGGUCCACAAAGAUGAUUGCCCACGUAAGAUAAGUUUUCAAAGCUUUGAAGUUGAGUGCUUGUUGGGAUUUGUCCUGUCAAGUUGUUGUAGGACACAUUGAAGUGAUUCAAGAAAUGCAAAUUGGAGAAACUUGAAGGGAUAUCACCAUUUAGCCGAUUCAUGGACAAAUCAAGAGAUUCCAUCAACUCCAUGUUGCCAAUGUUGUAUGGUAUAUUUCCUGUUAGGAGAUUCCCUGAAAAAUUUAAAGACAAUAGUCCAACAAGACUACCAAUUUCUUUGGGGAUCUCUCCUGUGAGACUGUUAGCUGAAAGGUCCAUGCUGGUAACAAGUCCUAGUGUCGUACCAUAUUCAUCCUCUCUUCCUUUCAACACCAAUAAUGCACUCAAAUAAAUUGAGGAAUCAUGGAAAUACGACGAAGAAAGUUCAUUAUUGGUUUUGUUUGUUGCGACCAUUGCACUUAAAUUAUUGAAACAUUUUGGAAUAACUCCUGAAAUGUUGUUGUGGGCAAGGUCCAAGAUUUGAAGAAAUUGAAGAUCACAAAUUUUACGAGGAAUAUGACCAUCAAAGUUAUUUGAUCGAAGGCUUAGAACCACAAGUUUCAAGAGCUUAUCACCAAUCCAGGCUGGUACACUUCCACUGAAAUGAUUUUCACUAAGAUCAAGCAUAAGUAAUCUACUAGAAUUUUGCAACGUGGAGGGUAAUUCUCCAAACAUAGUAUUGUUUCGAAGGUUUAACAAACAAGGAUUUGUAUAUCCCAAAGAAGGUGGGAUUUUCCCUGUCAAAUUGUUGUUUGCUAAAUUUAAAUAAGCAAAAUAUUCCCAAUACUUCCAACAAUCUGGAAUUUCUCCAAUCAGUAGAUUAUUAUCAAUGAAAAGAGCUAACAUCCCCGUUAAUGAUGAAUUACAAAC